rnacentral:lncRNA from 1 species
GAGAACGAGCUCGACCGCGAAAAGGUGCUCCUCGCCGUCGUCAACCACGACACCAACAAGCUCAUGGGGAAAGUCUCCAUCCCCCUGAAGGGCGUCGCGGUGGGGAGGCACUACAACAUGAAGCUCACGCUGGGCGGCGGAGCCAGCCUGUGCGUCUCGGUGAUCAUUCCCGCGGCGCCCGCGCGCGAGCUCGCGCGCGUCCGCGGCGACUCGGACGCGUUGAAGCUGGAGGCGUCCAUCACCGGCGUGCACGCGUUCGACGAACGCGACGACGGAUACGCCGGCCCCGUCGUCGCGGUGUGGCGAAUGGCGAGGGACGGGAAAGCCGCGCUCGCGGCGGGGGAGACGGCGCACGCGCUGUGGACGACGGUCGACGGGGGAAGAGAGGACGCGAUCGUGAAGGCGAUGGCGCAGAUCACGUCGGAGGCGGGCACGGACGCGAGCCCGACGCUUCAGGGCGCGACGCUCUCCGGCCCGCCGCUGUGGCCGAGCGGCCACCGCGCGAGCUUUCUCACCUCCGCCAGUAUGGUGUCGCAGUCGCGCUCCCCCGCGCUCGUCCUCGAGCUCCACAACGACCGCGGCAUGAUCGGCCGCGCGGUGAUCCCGGCGUCGGACCUCGGACGCGGCGGGCGCCCGAGCUCGCUGAACGACGUCCCGCUGUACGCGCGCGGCGGCGACGAGGCUGGCCGCGUGAACAUCACCGCGAGGGCGUGGCCUCGCGACGCCGUCGUCGCGAGCCGCGAGAAGGAAAUCGCGGGGGGGUUCGCCGCGGGCGGCGGCGGGCUCGGCGUCGGCGGCGACGGCGCGUGGAUGCUGAGCGCGAUGGCGACGGACAUGAUGGACAAGCAGGCGGCGAUGGAGGACGCGAUGACGCGGCUCGACGCCGCGGAGAAGCGGUGCGAGUCGUUGAAGUGGCGCGUGCAGGACGCAGAGAGCGCGAGGAAGCGUCUGGAGGCGGACAACACGGAGCUGCGGCGGCUGCUGCACGAGGAGAAGAACGCGGACCCGGCGGCGGGGUUGGCGCUCAUGGGGGACAUGUGGGACGUCAACGACGUCAUGGCGGCGAAGGAGCGCGUCGGGCAGAUCGCGGCGCGGUACGCCGCGGAGAAGCGACGCAACACGGAGCUGAUUCACAGGCUCAAGGCGAUGCACGAGGCCACCGUGGGCGCGGAGCAUCUCAAGGCGCGUCACCAGGAGCUUCAAGAGGCGCACGCGUUUCUCUCCAAGAGCUCGAUGAAGUGGGAGCGAGAGGCGAAGAAGGUGAUGAAAUGCAAAGAGACGAUCGCGAUGCAGGAGGGUAUCAUCGCGCGUCUGGAGACGGUGCUGGAGCAGGCGGUCGUGGACCAGCGGCGGCUCGCGGAGGCGGAGCACGUCGCCGGUCGUCUGCAAGACGCGAACGAGCUCCUCAAAGGGGGCGCGGAUUGGGAAGAGCUCGACGCGUUGCGAGAGGAGAACACCGCGCUGCGACGCGCGGCGAAGGAGCGCGAAACGGACCAGCGCGACAUGCAGAGCGACCGCGUGGCGCUGACGCUGAGGCUGGAGAAGGCGGAGGCGGCGGCGAUCGCGAGCAACAACGAGAUGCUCGAGGUGUCGCGUCGAUGCGCGCGGGAGAUCGCGGCGCUGCGGAGCAAGCUCGCGGAGAAGGACGCGCAGCUCAUGGGCGGGUUCGGGUCCGUCGCGAACUUGGUACUCGAGGAGCUCCCGCCGUCGAAGCGGCUGACCGCGAUGGAGCCGCCGGUGAACGAGCGGCAGGUGGGUCGAGGCGGCGGGUUGCUCGAGGGCGGCCGCGACGAGCAACGCGAGCGCGAGCGUCGACGCGGCGGAGAGAGUUACGGUUACGAAGACGACGGCGCCGAGUGGCGGCCGGAGUACGAGGACCGCCAGGCCCAGGGCGUGGAUCACAUGGUGCAGCGGGAGCUCGACGAGGCGCGCGCGCUCGGGAUGGUGGAGGAGAACCCGAAUCAGAAUGGCAGGAGGCGCGGCGGCGGCGCGCACGAGCCGAGUCCGCCGCCCGGGGAUCGGCCGUCGGACGGCGGCGGCGGCCCGCGAGGGUCGAGGAUGGACGGGGGGCCGCGCGGCGACGACAGGCUGGACGGCGGCGGCGGCGGCGGCGAAGAGGGAGACGGAGAUGAGUAUCCCUCCAUUAUGAUGCGCGGCGACGGCGACGAUGACUUCGCGGGGGAGGCGACGCGGCACUCGAGAGGGAGCGUAGCGUCCCCGACGCGAUCGGUCGUCAGAUCGCCGACGACGAAGUCGCCGACGAUGAAGUCGCCGACGAUGAAGUCGCCGACGCAGACGAUGAAGUCGCCGCAGAAGCCGCCGUCGACGAACAAGAAGAAGUCCAUGUUCGGUCGCCGGUCGUGAGCGAGGAGUCGUCGUCACGUUUCGCGAGGUGCGAUCGACGACGGCGCUCAUAAUAAGGCUUCGAAUCGAGUCAAGUCUUCUAUAGGUAAAGAAUCGAACACAACAACUUAUCUCUCACAUCUCGCCGCACUGGGAGAUCUUACACGAUAGCUUCGGCUUGUUGUUCGCCCCCGUGCCGACGUUCUCGAUCUUCCGCAGCACGAGCAGCCCGUCGCCCAGGACGCGACCGAAGACGACGUGCUUAUCGUCCAGCCACUCCGUCUUGGUGCACGUCAGGAAGAACUGGCACCCGUUGCUGUUCGGUCCGCUGUUGGCCAUGGAGAGCAAGCCGGGCCCCGUGUGUUUCCCGAGGAAGUUCUCGUCCGCGAACUUGCUGCCGUAUAUGCACGCGCACCCGGUGCCGUCGCCUUUCAGGUAAUCGCCCCCUUGGAUCAUGAAGUCUGCGGCGGGCGACGACGAACGACGACGACGGAGAAGAGGAGGAGGAGGAGGAGGGACGCGUGAGAAAUAAAUUAAUUAAGAAACGAACGCGAACGAACGAACGCGCGGAGGGGAAUUCGAUCCGCGGGCGCGUCCUCGCGAGCGACCGCCGCGAUCGAUCGCGAUCGCCGAUCGCCGAUCGACGCUCGACGCACCCUUGAUGACGCGGUGAAACUCCACGUCCUUGUACCCCUGCGGGAACCCGUUCUUCCUGAACUCGCCCGUGCACAGCUGUCUGAAGUUCUCCGCCGUCUUCGGGCAGACGUCCGCGAAGAGCUCCAUCUUGAUGCGGCCCGCGUCCGCGCCGCCGAUCGUGACGUCGAAGAACACGACCGGGUUGCUCGGGUUCGGCGGGCGCGCGUGCCACUGCGUCUCCUCCGCGGGCAUGACGGCCGUCGACGUGACGCGUUGGAGCGUGCCGGCGCGCGGGGAGAUCUGUGGCGCUGGCGCAUUCAUUUUCGACGCCGGAGAUCGAGAGCGAGAACUCGGCGCGCGCGUCGUCGCGGGUCAGCCAUCAGAAGCCGACGCGCCGCUCGCCAUGACGCGAUGCGUCGAGAAUCGCAUGUCCUCGGCGCCCUCCCUCGUCUCCCACCCUCCCCCUCUCAGAGUCCUCUCCCUCCUCCUCCUCCUCCUCCUCCUCCUCGCGUCUUCGACGCCGACGCGCGUCCGCGCGUGCAGCACGUUCCUCGUCGGCAAGGACGCCUCCUCGGACGGCUCGCUGUUCGUGACGCACAGCGACGACGGCGAGGGCAACCCCGACGUCCGCCUCGCGUUCGUCCCGGCGGCGACGCACGCGCCGGGGAGCGAGCGCGCGAUAUGGCCGGACCUGGAGGAUAACCCGCGCUACGUCGGCGACGCGCGCGGAGAGACGUACCGCGCGAGGAGCGAGCGCGAGCGCGACGAGAAGACGACGCGACCCGUCGGCUUCAUCCCGCAAGUCGCGCGCACGUACGCGUACACGGAGGGCAACUACGGCAUCAUGAACGAGAAGCAGCUCUCCAUCGGCGAGAGCACGUGCAGCGGCGUGUUCACCGCGAAGGGCGCGCACGACGGCGGCGACGCGCUCUUCUGCGUGAACGAGCUCUCGAGGGUGGCGAUGGAGGUGCGUUCUGGUUACACUGGUCCCCAUACGAUCCCGUUCGCGUGGUGAACGCCGAUCCUUAAGGACUUUGCCCGGCGCAUCUCUCCGCCCACCCCUCGCUUUCAAUCCCCGACCUCGACGCCUUUCAACUCCAACUGACGCCUUUCAACUCCACCCCGACAAUCGCUUGUAGCGAUGCGUCACCGCGCGGUGCGCCGUCGCGCUCAUGGGCGACCUCGCGGAGAGACACGGGUUCUACGGCGCCAGCGGCGGCGUCGAGGGCGGCAGCGAGACGCUCCUCGUCGCGGACACGACGGAGGGGUGGGUGAUGCACUUCGUGCCGUACCCCGCGAACAACAGCGCGGUGUGGGCGGCGCGGCGGGUGCCGGACGACGAGGUCGCCGUGGUGAUGAACAUGUUUACGAUUCGAGAGGUGGACGGCGGCGAUCCCGACAACUUCAUGCACUCCGCGAACAUGCUCCCCGUCGCGAUCGAGCACCGCCUGUGGAACCCGAUCGGGAGCGUCGGCGCCUUCGACUUCACGAAGGCGUUCAGCGACGGCGAGUACGCGCACAAGUAUUACAGCGGCCGACGCGUGUGGGGCGCGUUUCGGCUGAUAAAUCCAAGUCUCAAGCUCUCGCCCGAGUACGGCGACCUGCGUCUCGACGCGCCGUAUCCGUUCAGCGUGAAGCCCGCGAGACCGGUCGCCGCGAGAGAUCUAUUCGCGUGGCACCGCGACUGGUACCAAGGCACGCCGUUCGACGUCACGAGGGCGGGCGACGUCGCCGGCGGGCCGUGGAGCACGCCGGAUCGAUACGGCGGCGGCGACGCGGAGGCGUCUCUCCCGGGCGCGGUCGAGGUGCGUUCUAUACACUGGUUACCAUACGACCCCGUUGGCGUGGUGAACGCCGAUUCCUUAAGGACUUUUCCCGGCGCAUCUCUCCGCCCACGCCUCGCUUUCAAUACCCGCCCGCGAUGCCUUUCAACUCCAACUGACGCCUUUCAACUCCACCCCGACGUUCGCUCGUACGGAACGACCCUCAGCGAACGAUCGCGCUGUAUCGCACGACGUACACGCACGUGCUGCAGACGAGAGCGUGGCUGCCGGACCGCGUCGGCGGCGUGACGUGGUUCGGGCCGCACGCCGCGCACGGGACGUGUUUCGUGCCGGUGUUCGCCGGGUGCGAAGCCGCGCCGUCCGCGCUCAACGUCGGGAACGCGUCAACGAUCGAUCGCGGCUCCGCGUGGUGGGCGCACCGGUUCGCGCACAACCUCGCGCAGCUCAAGUUUAAGCACGCGAUCGAGGACGUGCGCGCAGCGCAGGAGAAGUGGGAGACCGCGGGGUUCGCGCUCGUGGACGAACUCAGCGCCGGAAGUGGUGGCGCGGCGGGCGGCGACGGAGAGACGUCUACGACGUACGCGUCGCCGGCGGCGCUGACCGCCGCCUCCGAGGCGCACGCCGCCGCCGUCGCGCGCGCGUGGUGGCGCCUCGGCGACGACCUCAUGGUGCGAUACGCGGACGGGUUCGUGAGCCCGUCCAUGGACGACGAGAGCGGCGCCGGCGACGCUCUGCCGGGUACGGCCGUGGGGUACCCGGCGUGGUGGCUCAACGCGAGCGGGUGGAAAGACGGGCCGCCGCCGCCGCCGCCGCCGCGGAAGGUUCCGAACGGCGGCGGCGGCGAGGCCGCGGGCGUUACGCGGGGGAGGGUCGAGGGGAGAUGGAACGUCGACCGUCGCCGUCGCGGCGGCCGUCGCGUCGUGCGCGCGUAGAUAGGAGGCCCGCGUCGUCGUACGACGCGCGCAUCGUAGACCUCGUCCUCGAAAGUAGGCACCGAACUCGAGUGUGAUGAAAUCGUUUGGGGUUUAGGUCUGCACGUUCCGAGGACUCCGAGACUCGAUCAUCACAUCGCGUCGCGUCGCGCCGAGGGUCGUCGAGCGCGUCUCGCGUCGUCGUCGUCCGCGCCCGCGCGCGCGCACGUCGGUCGCGCGCGCGCCGUCGGGGCGUCGCGAUGGGGCGAUACGGCCAGGGCGGAGGAGGCGGGAUGGGGGGUCGCGGCGGAGGCAGAUCCGCCGGUCAUCACCGAGGGCAUCAUCACCAUCAUCACGGCGGCGGAGGCGACGGCGGCUACCACAACCCCUCCGCGGCGGCGGAUAAGGACGCGCAGUUCAUGCCGUUCUUGAACCCUUACCCGUGCGCGCUGAUCCCCGUCCCGCUCGAGUUCGAGUCCGCGGGCCACUUCGCGUGGAUAGUCGCGAAUAAUCUCCUGGCGGAGUUUUGGCAUCUCAUCAGGCGCGUUCUAUACAGUGGUUCCCAUACGACCGCGCUGGCGUGGUGAACGCCGAUCCUUAAGGACUUUUGCCGGCGUGUCUCUCCGCCCACACCACGCUUUCGAUCCCCGCCCUCGACGCCUUUCAACUCCAUCUGACGCCUUUCAACUCCACCCCGACGUUCGCUUGUAUGGAAUGGCCCUCAGCGAGGGCCCGCGCGGGCCCGCGCUCAAGGCGAAGCCCGCGGGCGACGGGAAGCUCAACCUCGUCAGCGGCGACGGCGGCGGCGACGACCCAAGCCUGAUGCACCACCUGCUGAAGAUCGGCGGGCAGCUGCACGUCGUGACGUCGCAGAGCGGCGGCGAGAGGAACGCGGAGACGGGCGAGAAGGCGCCCACGCUGCUGGUGCGUGUUUCGCGGUUCGGUUUCACCCAUCGCACCGCCUCUCUUCCUUUCAAUCUGACCGAUGACGACUCGUUUCAAAAAACAGACGCUGAAACCGAAGCUCGGACCGUUCAGCGGUCAGAUCCGCACGUUCGGAUACGUCGGCGCGUUCGUCGCCGAGCUCGCGGCGCUCAACGAGCUCGCCCAGAGAGAACAACGCGGGCACGCCGCGUCGCCGGUCCUGCGCGCGGUGAUGCGACCGACGGAGCACGUCCCGGGGUCGUGGGGGCCCGCGCCUCUGCCCGAGGAAGACUUCGCUUUAAUCUCCGGUGCGUUCUGUGCGCACGUUUUUCACCCACCGCUCGGUUUCAACAUUUGAUCGCGUCCGCUUUCAACUGACCGAUGAAUGCUCGUGUCUGCACGGCAUCGCCCUCUCAUCAGGCGAAGGCGCGCCGAAGGCGAACGCGUCGCAGAAGAACGCGGUCUGCGCGCUGUCCGCCGCGCUCGAGAAGAUCCAGGGCCCGCCGGGGACGGGGAAGAGCACGACGAUAUACCACGUCGUGACGCAGAGGGUGCCGAAGGGCGAGCGGGUCCUUGUCACGUGCAGCCGCAACGUCGCCGUGGAGUCCAUCGCGCAGAAAUUGAAAGGCGCGUUCUCCUUACACUGGUCCCCAUACGACCGCGUUCGCGUGGUGAACGCCGAUCCUUAAGGACUUUUGCCGUCGUCUCUCUCCGCCCACCCCUCGCUUUCAAUACCCGCCAUCGACGCCUUUCAACUCCGCUUCUGACGCCUUUGAACUCCACCCCGACAUUCGCUCGUAUGGAACGACCCUGAAGCGUGCGACGCCGAGAUGCUCGUCGUCGGCGCGCCCGGCCGCAUCGGCGCGACGGCGCGGCGGCAUCUCCUGGACGCGAAGACGGAGGCGCACCCGCGCGUGCGCGCGAUCGCCGCCGCGUCGCUCGGCGGGUUCCAGUCCCCGGCGGCGAUCACCGCGGCGAAGUCGGUGAAGGGCGCGCUCAUGGACGACUGCCAGCUCAUCCUCUGCACGAUCGCGAGCACGAGCCGAUUGCUGCGAGAGUGGGAAGAGCACGUCAAGACGCCGUUGCGCGUGCACACGGUGGUCGUGGACGAGUGCGGGUGCACGCCGGAGAGCUCCACCGCGCUGCUUCUGAACCUUCGACCGAAGAACUUGGUCCUCCUCGGCGAUCACAAGCAGCUGCCGCCGUGCUCGUUGAUCCCGCCGCACGCGUUGAAAGGUGCGUUCUGGUUACACUGGUCCCCAUACGACCGCGUUGGCGUGGUGAACGCCGUUCCUUAAGGACUUUGCCCGGCGUGUCUCUCCGCCCACACCACGCUUUCAAUCCCCGCCCUCGGCGCCUUUCAACUCCAACUGACGCCUUUGAACUCCACCCCGACUUCACUUCGUUGAAAGGCACCGCGCACGAUCGGUCGAUGCUCGAGCGUUGCGUCGCCGCGAGCGGACGCGCGCAUCGACUCACGACGCAGUACCGCAUGCAUCCGCACGUGUGUGCCGCGGUGAGCCGGCAGUUUUACGACGGCGAGCUCGAGACGGACGAGGCGAUCGCGAGCGAGCGGUUCGCGGUCGGCGAGGAGAGGGGCGACGCGGACGCGAUGGUGUGGUGUCAAGUCGACGGCGCGGAGAGAGUUCCGGACGACGGGAAGUCGUUCGUGAACGACGCGGAGGUUGUCGCGGUGACGGCCGCGGCGAUGUCGUUACGCGAGCGCCACGGUUACGAGUGCACGAUCGCUAUCCUGACCUUCUACAAAGGCCAGUUCCUCGCGCUGCUCGAGGCGCUCCCGGCGUCGCUGAAGGUGGAGUGUCUCACCGUGGACGCGUGUCAGGGCAGCGAGUUCGAUUACGUGAUCAUCUCGACGACGCGCGGUGCGUUCUAUACACUGGUUACCAUACGACCCCGUUGGCGUGGUGAACGCCGAUCCUUAAGGACUUUUGCCGGCGUGUCUCUCCGCCCACGCCUCGCUUUCAAUACCCGCCCGCGAUGCCUUUCAACUCCAACUGACGCCUUUCAACUCCACCCCGACGUUCGCUCGUAUGGACCCUCGACCCUCAGCGAACAAAACCGGGUCGAUCGGGUUCGUGUCCGACCCGCGGCGCGUGAACGUCGCGGUGUCGAGAGCGCGGCGGAUGUGCGUCGUGUUCGGGGACCAGAACACGAUGGCACCGCACGGCCGCGGCGGCACGGACUGGGCGGGGAUACGACGCGCGUGUAGGUUUGAGACGUACGGCGCGGAGGGGUGUCGGUGGAAGAGAGACCCGCCGACUUCGGGGUUCACGACGAUGCUGCAGCAUAAACGAACGGUCGCGAAGGAGCCGUUACUAGACCUGGACGAGAAAACAGAGGAGGAGAGCUCCGGGAUAAACGUCGGCGCCGCAGCGUUCGUUCCGGGGCAGAUGGCGGCGGCGGUCGCGGGGGGGAAGAAGCCGCCGGGCGCGCCGGGGACGGGGAAGAAAGCGAAGGCGAACGCGAGGAGAAAAGCCGCCGCCGCCGCCGCCGCCGCGGAGCUCGCGCACGCGCGCGCGCUCGGCGGCGUCGGCGGCAUGCUCCACGGUGGGAUGCACGGCGUCGGCGUCGGCGUCGGGCAGCGAGGGUUAUUAGGGUUCGCGACGCACCAGCGCGGCGGGUUCGGGUUCGGCGGCGGCGGCGGGGCGACGCCACCGCCGCCGCAGCAGCAGCCGCCGAAGCCGACGGUAAAGGGCACGAUGACGCCGAGGAAGCUCGCGCUCGGCGGCGGCGGCGGCGGGGCGACGCACGGCGGCCGCGCGCCGAUCGCGAUGCCGCGGUNNNNNNNNNNNNNNNNNNNNNNNNNNNNNNNNNNNNNNNNNNNNNNNNNNNNNNNNNNNNNNNNNNNNNNNNNNNNNNNNNNNNNNNNNNNNNNNNNNNNUCCGCUCGUCGCCGGCGGCGUCGUGGAUGAGAAUUUGUCAACUCGUCGUCCUCGUCGUCUCGUCGACGCGAUUCGAUUCUCGUCACCGCCCUCGCGGACGAGGGACGGCCGCGCCGCCUCCUCCCCCAAGCGACGGCCACUGCCCUCCUCCCGCGGCGUUCACGUCCGCGACGGUGCCGCCCUGAGGCGGCAGCGGCGGCUUCGGCGGCGCGUCGCCGAACCUAAACUGCGUCAAAGGCGGCGGCUGCACGGCGCCGCGUCGCCCCGCCGCGCCGCCGCCGCCGCCGCUCGCGCGGCUCGACGACGCGUCGGACUGGGAACCGCCGCUCGCGAGCGGCCCGCUCGGGUCCAUGCUCGACCUCCACGCGCUCAGCGCUAUGUCUCUGGGCGACAACACCGCCGCGGAGGGGUGGGGUACCCCGGGGCCGCCGCCGAGCGGCGGCGGCGGCGACGCGGCGGGGCGACGCGGCGCGGCGCCGCCGCCGCCUUUGCCGCAGUUUAGGUUCGGCGACGCGCCGCCGCCGCCGCCGCCGCCGCCUCAGGGCGGCACCGUCGCGGACGUGAACGCCGCGGGAGGAGGGCAGUGGCCGUCGCUUGGGGGAGGAGGCGGCGCGGCCGUCCCUCGUCCGCGAGGGCGGUGACGAGAAUCGAAUCGCGUCGACGAGACGACGAGGACGACGAGUUGACAAAUUCUCAUCCACGACGCCGCCGGCGACGAGCGGAGACCGGGCCUUCCCGCGGUAGCCGUUCAUCAUUCUUUCGAAUCACGACGUGAUCGCUCGCUCGCGUCGCGCGGCGUCCGCGCGCGUCCCCGCCGCGAGGCUUCGCUCCUUGUCACUCCUCGACUUCCCGUCGUAGUCGCGAAUUCGAUCGAACAGAAGGAAAACCGUUUCGUUUCUCGCGCGAUCGGAAUUUCUACCGUUUCGCCUCUCGGGGGCGUUUCGCUGACAAGAAGCCGAAAAGUCUGACUAAAUGCUCAUACGACCGAUACGCCGAAAUUUCCCCAUCACGCCUCUUGAAAUCUCGUGAAAAGCAACGACGAAACGUCUCGGAGGCGCAUUCCCCGCGCGCACGCCGCACCCGCUCCGCACGCACGACAUCGACAUUCACACGAUGAACGCCGCAGCCUGCGUCGCCUCCAACGCCGCCGCCGCGACGCGCGCGAUGCCGCCGUCGUUCAAGAUCCGCAAGGUGGACGACCGCGAGCGACGCGCGGAUCUCGAAAAGCAGGUCGAGGCCGCGCUCAAGUACGCGCGCUCGCGAUGCGAGAAUCGCGCGCGCAAGCCGCCGCACGCGCUCGCGUCGCCCAAGGCAAGCAAAGUCAACGCCGAGUCCGUCCUCGCCGGGUACGGCGUCGACGUCCUCGCGGCCGCGAAGCUCGACGGCGGCGAGAAGACGAUGUCGGUCGUCCGCGCGUCGAGCCUCGUCGAGCUCGACAAGUGCCUCCGCGCGCGCGCGGAGCAAUCCAUCGUCGUCUCGCGCGCGCCGACGCGCGCGACGGACGUCCACGCGUUCCUCGCCACGGACGAGGACGCGAUGGACGACGACAUCCGCGACGACGUCGCGCACCUGUACGUCACGUACGACGACCCCGCGAGCCAGCACACGCUCGCGGUCGCGCGCGUGCUCGGCCUCGGGAGCGGCGGCGUCUCAUCCGACAAGAACAUCGACAUCGACAUCGACCGACCGCCGCUGCUCGUCGACCGGUUCCUCUCGACCGGCCUCUCGAUGUUCGGCCCGGGCGCGAACCCGGUGAAGACGCCGUCGAUCGUCCGCGCGCUGCUGUACGAGGCGUGCGAGGAGCUCGCGCGGCGCGACGGGCGGCGCGUCGGCGAGACGUUCGACGUCGUCGCCGUCCGCGGGACGCUGCCGGCGACGGCGAAGAUCGCGUCCGAACGCGCCGCCGACGCCGCGAACGGCGACGCGAAGCCGACGGCGUGGGCGACGCGACGGCUGAAGCGGUACUCGGUCGCGAUCGACGCGCCGCCAGGGGUCGACGGUUCGAUCGAUGAACCGACGCGGCAGCCGGUCGCCGCCGCGCCCAUCGUCGUCGCCGCGCCCGCUUGCGCGAGGGCGCAGCCGCCGAUGCACUCCGACUCGGCGAGAGAUCUGAGCGUCGACCGCCGCGCGACCGACGACGCCGCCGACGCCGACGCGUCCGAUCCCGUCGCCGCCGCGAAGAAGGCGCUCGAGGACGCGAUGCGCGCGCUGAAGGAAGCGGAGGCGAACGCGCAGAUCGCGGCGGAGAAGAAGGAGGCGCAGGCGCGGGCGGAAGUCGUCGCCGCCGCGCCGGCGGUCGCCGCCCUGCCAGCCGUCGUCGACGUCGAGCUUCCGCCGCCGCUUUCGUCGCCGGUCGAGGCUGUCGCGAACGAAGCGGACGAGCAGCUGAAGACGAUGCGGCUGUCGCUCGCCACCUCGCGCGCGGCGCACGCCGCCGCGGACGCGAUCCUGUCCUCCGUGAACGGCCCAGACGCGAGCGUUACGGAAGGUCCGCCGCGAGCGGCGCGGAGGGCGUCGGACGCGUUCACGAGAGCCGACGACGGCGCGCACGAAAAAAUCGUCGCCGACGUCGCCGCCGCGGUCGGCUGCGUGCUGCUCCCGUCGCUGACGCCGCGCGCGAAGGCGUGCGACGCGACCGUCCGCGGGCUCGCGGGCGUGAGCGUCGGCGGCGGCGACGCGGACGCGGGGCUUUUGCGCGCGCUGCGCGAUUUCGCGGCGGCUUCGGCGAAGGAAAAGAAGCGCGCCGGGGCGGACGGCCCGGACGUCGCCGACGACUUCAAGCUGUCCCCGUGGAAGGCGAACGACGCGAGGAGCGGCGGCGACGAGCUGAAGCGCCUCGCGAGCGACGACGCGCACAUGCUGAUCGCCGCGUGCGCGCGGAUGAAGCCGCUGGGAUCCGAGGAGAAGAAGAAGAACGCCGCGGGGCCGCACCGACGGCUGAUGCGAUUCGAGCCGCGUCCCGCCGCCGCCGCCGCCGCCGCGCCGGCCGCGAAGAAGCCGCGCGCCGCCGCCGCGCCGGUCGCGAACUCCGACGCCGAGGUCCCGUGGGACCCGCUCGUGGACACGGACUCCGACGCCGACGCCGACGCCGACGUCGACGUCGCGCGCCCGGACGCCGCCGCGACCGCCGAGAGACUCGCCGACGUCUUGGACGACCUCUACCAAACCUCCGGCGACGCCGGGGUGCUCCUCCUCGCGUCCACGACGCGCGACAGCGCGCCGAACACGUUCCAGGGCGCGCGCGCCGGUUCAAGGCACGUCGUCAACACCGUCGCGGUCGAGCACGCGUGCGGCGCGGUGACCGGCGUGCCGAUGCAUCAGCUGUUGCUGCAAGCCGCGGAGGUCGGCCUCGUGAUGGAUCCGAGCGGGUGCUUCGUCGCGCCGAAUUCGGAUUCGUCCGCCGCGGCGAACGACGAAUCGCAGGCUGACACGUCAUCACCCGUCCUCGGCGUCGGCGUCGCGCGGCUGCGGCGCGUCGGGUACAGCGUCCGGUUCGCGCGCGAGGACGACGUCGACGCGCUCGUCGCCGUCGAGGCGCAAAACUGGGGCUCGAAAUCCGCGAUGCGCACGCCGCGCGCCACCAUUCUCGACCGCGUCGUCAACAACCCCGCGGGGAACCUCGUCGUGCAGUCCGACGACGGCGAGGUCAAAGGCGGCGUCUACUUCCAGCGCGUGAACGCGCCGGACGACGCGACGGUGUACGACUGGCACAACAAAGAGCGCGCGCGCCUCGUCGAGGGACCGUACGUGCAGCUGAUGGACAUCCACGUGUGCCAACUCUUCAGCGCGACGCUCGGACGCGCGGUGGGGAACGAACUGCGCGAGUUCGUGCUCAACGUCGCGCUGACGAUGCCCGGCGUGAGAGGCGUGUGCGCGGUCACGCGCACGCGCGGGUACCGGAACAAAGAGAAGGUCACCGGCGUGAAGUACGAGGACUACGUCAUGCAGAGCGAGGGGAAGCACGACCGCGGGCUGUUGUUUCACACCGGCGGCGGCGCGCGCGUGUUAAAGCCGGUGCAUAACUGGCGCCCCGCGGACCACGAGAACGACGGCAAGGGGACGCUCAUCCUGUACGACCUCCCGAAGCUGUCCAUGGCGCGGAUCGCGUCCGCGAAGAUCGCCGCGCAUCGGUGGAAGACGCGCGCGAUGAAGCGCGCGGGCGAGACGAAAGCGGCGGCGGCUUCGGCGGCGGCGGCGGCGGCGGCGGCUUUGAAAUCGAAGCCGCCGGCUUCGGCGGCGGCGUCGCCGACGUCCGUCGCGGACUUCGACGACGCCGCCGCCGACGAUGACGUCCCGACGGUGUUCGUUUCGCUGAACGCCGGGCCGUCGUCGGAGAAAAUCUCCGACAAAAUCUCCGACGGAUUCUCCGACGCGGUGCGCGCGCACGCGCUCGCGGAGUCGUGGAGCUCCUCGGACGACUCGAACUGACGCGGCGCCGCGCCGGGUCGCGGGCGGAAGUGCGCGCGCGAAGUGAGAGAUGCGAGAGUGUACGAGUAUGAUAUGAUAAGUUAUGAUGAGUGUGUAUUUCGCGUGGUUUCGUUCUGUUUCUUACAUGUGCAUCUCAUCUCUUCGCGCGCUUCGCCGCCGUCUUCGCGGCGGCGGCGGCUUUGCGUUUCUCCGCCGCCGCGGCUUUCUUCGCCGCCGCCGCGGCUUUCUUCUCCGCCGCCGCGACUUCAAGAUUCAUCAAUUCUCUCACCUCUUUGAGAAGACCCUCGGACCUUUUGUAACCGUUCUCUACGGCCUUCGCGAGCCAGUGUUCCGCCUUACCGAGGUCUCUCUCACAGUGUCCAUAACUGAAAUAGUAACAGCGCCCGAGGUUAUUUUGCGCAUAUGCGUAACUCUGCUCCGCGGCUUGAUGAUACCACUUCACCGCCUCUGCCAUGUUCUUCUCUUCGCCUUCUCCGUGUUCGUAGGAGACCCCAAGGUUAUUUUGCGCAUAUGCGUAACUCUGCUCCGCGGCUUGAUGAUACCACUUCACCGCCUCUGCCAUGUUCUUCUCUACGCCUUCUCCGUGUUCGUAGGAGACCCCAAGGUCAUAUUGCGCACCUACGUAACCAUGCUCCACGGCUUGACGAUACAGUUUCACCGCCUCCACGUGGUUCUUCUCUACGCCGCGUCCGUGAUAGUAGCAGCGCCCAAGCCUAUUUUGCGCACCUGCGUGACCCUUCUCCGCGGCUUGACGAUACCACUUCACCGCCUCCUCGUACCGCUCUGCGCCGUAGUGCUCCACGCCGAGUUUACACUGCGCGUCCGCGUCGCCGCCCUCCGCCUUCUUCCGCAGCUCGAACGUCGCGUCGCUCUCCCCCGGGAGCCGCCGCGCCUCCCUCGGCGCGCCCGUCGUGGCCGCGUCGCCCUCCAUCGCGCUCGUGAGCUCGUCGCUGAGUUUCUCCCCGUCCGACGCGCCGCUCGCGGACCCGCUCUGCUCGUUCUUCGGAACGACGCGGACGACGAGUCGCCCUCGCCGCGCCUCCUCCUCCAGGUCCUCCUCCAUAUCCUCUUCGUUCCUCGCGAUCGCGGGCCACGCGCGCGCCGGCGGGUCCUCCCUGAACGCCUCGCGGUACUUCGCGAGGACGCGCGCGUACGCCUCCAUCUCCGCCGCGUCGUUCGCGUUCACCCCCGCGCUGUCCUCGUUCGCGUGGUCCAGAACGUCCCCGAAGACGCGAUCGCAGAACGAGACGUAGUCGCGAGUGCCGUUCAGCGCGUGCUGCCGCCACGCCUCGCCGACGACCGCGCUCGGGCGCAGCGCGAUCGUCUUGAACGUGUUCUUCUAUAUCGUCAUGAAACGCAGGUACUCCCGCAGGAGCGCGCGCGCGUCGUCCUCGCGGUCGAACCCGCGGACGUGGCGUCGGAUGUUACCUAGCAGGCGCUCUUCCGCGUCGGCGUCGCCGACGGGCUCGACCGCGAGCAGCGUCGGCGCGAGCGGGUUCGGCGAGGGCGGCCUCCUCGAGACGACGCGCGCGACGACGCGCGCGGCGUGGCCGGAGGAGCACGCGACGGAAGCGGUCAUCGGAGCGUCGACGGCGGGUCGUCGGGGCGCUUCGGAGUGUGUCGAGGAGGUUGCUGAUGCGUCGGAUUUUGAUUUUUUUUUUUUAGAAUUUGAUUUUCGGCCUCGAGUCGUCGUCCGCGCGUCCUCGCCGUCUCCGCGACCGUGACCGCGACCGUGACCGUGACCAUCUGUGCGUUAUGUCCACGUGUUACAUGAGCUAUCUAUCCGCGCGGCGUCGUCCCGUCCACCCUACCCUCGUCCACCUUAUUUAACCCGUUUCAUCCAUUCCUCGGAGGACGACGAGCUCCACCCGUCGUCGUCCUUCUCGUCGUCCGCCCCCGCGUCGUCGCCGCCGUCGCCGUCCGCCUCGCCGUCGCCGCCCUCGCCGGCGGCGGCGUCCGCCGCGCUCUCUUUCUUCAACCUCGCCACGUUCUCCUUCCCCUCCUCCUCCUCCAGCCGCUUCUCGUACCACUCCGCGAAGUCGUUCCACACCGACGGCGCCUCUCUGCGGUACCUCUGAUACUCCUCCUCGGUGACGUCGGCGAGGCAUCGAUCCUCGUCCUUUCCGAAGAAGUCCGUCGCGACGAACACGCGCCCCAACGCCCUCGCGUUAUCCUUGAACCGCAGAUACUUCCUCGGCGGCGUCUCGGAGAUGAUCCCGGUGUAGUCUUCCUCCGGCUCGAACGUCUUGAGCUUCCCGUUGGCGUCCACGUGCACGAUGACGUCCGCCCACCCCGCGCGUCUGUCUUCUUUCUCGCGCAUGAGAUUUAAAAGGCCCUCCGUGCCGAUGGUGUAGUUGGCGUACUUCGUCGCCGGCCCCGGGAAGUCUUUCAGCGCGGCGCACACGAGCCCGCAGUCGUGCACGAUGAGCGGGCGCUUCAGCUCCUCGAACGCUCGCCGCGCCUUGUCCAUCGCGACCGCCUUCACGGAGUCGGCUUGGAUCUCCGGGAUUUUCAAAUCCACGCCCUGGACCUGGACGCGCGACAGCGACCGCAGCGACAGCGCGAGCCUCGCGCGCGUCAGCUUCCCCGUGUUCCCGGUCACGAACACGAGCGGCGGCGGCGGCGGUAUGGGCGGCGGCGAGAACGACGCCGCCUUCGGGGGCGAGUACAGACCCGGCAUGAGCCCCGCGCGCGAGAACGGCUUCAUCCCGGGCGGCGACGGCGGGCGGUUGCCGCUGCCGUCGUUCGCGCCCGCGCCCGAGGGCUGCUGCUGCAUUCCGGGGAGGAUCCCGGGGAUGGGCUGGAAUCCGGGCAUCAGGCCGGCGGCGUGCGAGCCGCCGGCGGCGUAUCCGGGCAUCAUCGCGACCGCGACGGAGUCGGUGGAGGCAGGCGCGCGGGGACGGAGUGAGGCUAUGAGACGCGCGACGCGACGGUUCGAAGGCGAAGGCGUCAGAAAAAAGUUCGGUCGUCGCGUCGCGUCGCGUCCUGUCUGGUCGCGUCGCGUCGUCAUCAAUUCCUACACCCGGGUGCCCUAAUCGGCGCUCAGAUCGAGCGGCGCGACGGCACGCGAUCGACUCCCAGCACGGCGCGCGCGCGCGUCCCCGCGGGCCGCGGUCGUCGUCGUCAUGUCCGCCUCGAGCGACGAGCGGCUGUCGCGGACGAUCGAGGGCGCGUUCCGGCUCACGCUGACGGAGAGCGCGGGAUCCGACGAGUGCGUCUUCCUCGCGGACCUCGCGACCGAGCUCCGAUCGGAGGGCGUCUCCCCGCCGUUCGCGAUCACCGCGGAUAACCUCGAGCGCGUGCUCUUCGCGCGCUUGUCCACGCCGCAGGACGCGUUCCCGGAGGGGGCGUGGAGGAGAGACCCGGAGGCGGCGCCGUUCGCGUGGCUCGUGCGAUCGUACCUCCGAUGCUUCCACGCGUCGCGCAAGUCCGCGAGCUCGAAGGACCUCCAAGAGAAGCAGGCCGCGCUCCUCGCGGCGGCGAACGAGCUCUGCGUGUCCUACUGCGGCCUCCUCCUCAACCCCGCGAUGGACGGGAUGUUCCCGCAACCAGAGGCGGCGGCCGCGCGGGGGCCGUCGCAGCUGUUCGACGAGAUGACCGGCGCGGAUGGCUUGCCGCCGGGAUUUCUCGACGCGUUCGCGAGGAGGUUCGAGAGCGAAGGCCUCCCGGAGAUGCUCGACCCGUCGCUGACGCAGCUCCCGAGCCUCAUCAACGGCGUGUCGCCGCUGGGCGAGGUGCACAAGCCGCUGACGCUGCUGUGCCAGCUGGCGGCGUGCAAACCCGUCGCGGCUCGGCUCGCGGCGCAUCCGAAGUGGAAGCCGACGACGACGACGACGACCAACGCCUUCCCCGGGAUGGCCGGGAUGGCCGCGUCGUCGUCGUCGUCGUCGUCGUCGUCCGCGAUCAACGGCCGCGCGUUCGAGGACGAGUCGCUGCUCGGGCCCUUCUUCGGGUGCAGCGCGCUGCCGGACCCGGCGCUGCUCCAGCGGCAGCCGUCAGUCGCGGAACAGUGCUUCAGGUGCGUUCUAUACACUGGUCCCCAUACGACCGCGUCGGCGUGGUGAACGCCAAUCCUUAAGGACUUUUGCCGGCACAUCUCUCCGCCCAUCCCUUGCGGUCAAUCCCCGCCCACGAUGCCUUUCAACUUCAACUGACGCCUUUCAACUCCACCCCGACAUCGCUUUGUAUGGAACGACCCUCAGCGGCCUCGAGAGCAGACGCGGCGCGGACGUCGAACAGUCGAUUCACACGCUGCGCGCGGUGACGAAACAAACACAGGAGGGGCUGUAUCAGACCCUGUACGCGAUGCUGAAACACGGCGGGGACGUGCGAGAGGGCGUCGUCGCGUGGCUCGCCGCCGCGUGCGACGCGAACGCGGGGCGGAGCAAGAUGCAAAUCGCGCCGCUCCUCUGCUCGUCGCACGGGUUCGCGCAUAACCUAUCGAUGACGACGCUUCGACUCGCGGCGCCGUUCACCGAGCCCGGGGCGAUGAAAUUCACGAAGAUCGACCCGAGCUACGUGCGGUCGAGAAAGUGCAGGCUCAACUUGACCGAGGUGACCAGGGUCAGCGCGACGGAGGAGCAGGCGCGUGCGGGCGCGUUGACCGAAGCCGAGGAGACGGCGACGGAGAGCUACGGGUUCAUCUGCGAGUGUUUCUUCCUCGCCGCGCGCGCGAUGCACUUGGGGUACGUCAAGUGCGUCAGCGAGCACACGUCGCUCGCGCGCGAGCUCCAGGACCGGCAGUCGCAGCUCGGGGACGUGGACGCGAUGCGCGCGCAGUGGGCGGCGUCGUUGCCGGGCGGCGCGCCGAACGCGUUUCAAUCCGCGCAGUUUGACAGGCACAUCGGCCAGCUCACGAACGAGCUCGCGCGGUGUAAGGAACGGUACGCGUGCUUCGAUAGCGUGCUGCAGGACCCGAGGGCGAUCGGCGAGGCGAUGGCGUUCUAUCGGCUCGUCGCGACGUGGUUGAUAUGGGUCGCGACGGACGGGAGGGACGCGGCGGGGGGGGCGACGUUGGCGCGAGAAGUCGCGGGGAAGACGGGCGGCGGCGGCGGCGGCGGCGGCGGCGGCGGGUUACUUCCGACGCCGUGCCCGCCUCGGUUCGCGCUCCUCCCCGAACACAUCCUCGAGGACUGCGCGGACUUUUUGUUGUACCUGUGCCGCUUCUGCGCGCAGAGCGGCGGCCCGAACCGCGACGUGUUCAACCACGAGCGUCUGGACGAGCUCAUGUCGCUCUUCGUGUUGCUGUUGGGUUCUCCCGAGUACGUCAAGAAUCCGUACCUACGCGCGAAGUUCGUGGAGGUGCUGCGGCACUGGCUCCCCGGCGACCCGGCCGAGCCGCGCGGGCGCUGGAACCCCGCGAUGGCGAACUUGUUCGAGGGCCACCAGCUCGCGCUGAAGCACCUGAUCCCGUCGGUGUUGCGGCUCUACGUCGACAUCGAGUUCACCGGCGCCGCGAAUCAGUUUUACGACAAGUUCAACAUCCGGUACCAGAUCGGCGAGAUGUGCGAGUACCUCUGGAAGGUGGAGCCGCACCGCAUCGCGUGGAGCGAGCUCGCGAUUCGCGACCCCGAGUUCUACAUGCGGUUCCUGAACAUGCUCAUCAACGACGCGGUGUGGCUGUUGGACGAGAGCAUGCAGAAGCUUCCGGAGGUGAGAGAGUACGACCAAGAUUCGAGCGACGUCGACGCGUGGUCGCGGCGGCCCGCGACGGAGCGCGCGGAGCGCGAGCGCGCGAACGCGCAGACGACGCGCGGCCUGAAAAACGACCUCAUCCUCGCCAAGGUGCACGUCGGGAUGAUGGAAUACACGAGCCGGGACAUCGCGGCGCCGUUUUUGUUGCCGGAGAUGGUGGAGGCGCGUUCUAUACACUGGUCCCCAUACGACCGCGUCGGCGUGGUGAACGCCGUUCCUUAAGGACCUUGCCCGGCGCAUCUCUCCGCCCACCCCUCGCUUUCAAUCCCCGUUCGCGACGCCUUUCAACUCCAACUGACGCCUUUGAACUCCACCCCGACAUCGCUUUGAAUGAUGGAACAGCGCGUGGCCGCGAUGCUCAACUAUUUUCUGCUGUUCCUCGCGGGGCCCGAGCGCACCAAGCUGAAGGUCAAGGACCCGGAGAAGUACGGGUGGAAGCCCAAGGAGCUGCUCGGGAUGAUCACGCAGGUGUACGUGCACCUGUUCGAGGCGGACAAGGACGGCGCGUUCGUCGCCGCCGUCGUCGCGGACGGCCGGAGCUAUAGAGACGAGGUGCUCACGGAAGCCGCGUCGCUCUUGCGGCAGCUCGGUCUCAAACCCGCGCACGCCGUCGCGAGUUUCGAUCGACUCGCGGACGCGUGCCGGAUGUCCGCGGCGGCGAUGGAGGAGGAGGAGGCGGACCUGGGGGAGAUACCGGACGAGUUUUUGGACCCGGUGAUGUGCACGCUGAUGACGGAUCCGGUGAAGCUGCCGGGGGGCGCGUCGAUGGAUCGCGCGAACAUCAUGCGGCAUCUCCUGAGCGACCAGUCGGAUCCGUUCACGCGCGCGCCGUGCUCGAUCGAGGAUUUGGUGGACGACGUCGAGCUCAAGGGGAAGAUCGACGCGUGGGUGAGGGAGCGGAAGGGGAUGGCCGCGGUGGGGAGAGGAGGCGCGUGACGCGCGCGAGAGACGACGAGAGGAGCGCCUUCGUAGAUGAAGAGAAGACGACUGAUUUUUUGCGACGAUCGCGUUUGCGACGAUUACAUGUGCUCGCGCGUCCGUCGUCUAGUCUAUCGAUGAUUCGCGAAAGAAGCGCGGCCCUCCUCGUCCACGGACUCCAUCUCGAGAUCUCUGUACGCCCCCGCCUUCGCCCCCCCCGCUCCCGGUCCCGGCGACAGGUUCAAAAUCGCCACCGCGCCGCCCUCCGUCCCGAUGUCGACGCUCGUCCUCCUCGCCGCGAUCGUCGCUCCCCCCUCGCCCCCGGUUCGAUCCCCGCCGCUACCCCCGUACUCCUCCUCGCGCGCCGCCACAAGCUUCGCCGCCGCCUCCUGCUCGUUCGCCUUCGCCUUGCUCACGACCGCGACGCCGCACAUCGUGACGAACGACCCCGCCGCGCGGUCCCACCCGACGGCUGAGGGAGGGUCGGGGUGGCGUUGAAAGGCGCGUCAGGGGUGGAGUUGAAAGGCAUCGCGUUCGGGGAUUGAAAGCGAGAGACGCCGGGAAGUGAAGUCCUUAAGGAACGGCGUCAACCUCGCCGACGCGGUCGUAUGGGGACCAGUCCGAUACUAUCUUAUAGAACGCGCCUUCGUCCAGGAAAAUAUCCGCGAGGAUCACCGUGAAGAUCACCUGCACGCCGCUGUACACCGUCGGCAGCACCCCGCUGACGUGCGAUAUCGCCCAGCUGUUUAUCCCGUGCGCGAAACACGAGGACAUGAUCCCGGCGUACAGCACCGCGAGGUACGCGUGCGCGGGCAGCGUGGACCACUCGACGCGGCGCACCAGCCCGCGCACGCCGACUGAGACGUCGGGGUGGAGUUGAAAGGCGUCAGAAGCGGAGUUGAAAGGCGUCGAGGGCGGAGAUUGAAAGCGAGGGGUGGGCGAAGAGAGACGCCGGCAAAAGUCCUUAAGGAACGGCGUUCACCACGCCAACGCGGUCGUAUGGAGACCAGUGUAUAGAACGCACCCGACGCGAUGACGAUCUCGCUGACGACGGUGGCGGCGAAUAAGAACAACAUCGGCCCGGGCGGCGGACGGUCGAGCCCUUCUAUGACGACGUCGUCGUCGUCGUCGUCGUCUUCGUCUUCGAAAUGACUAGUAGUAACGCUCCUCCUCGUAACGGCAGCUGUAGAAUUCGAACCGUCACCAGCGCGGACGCGUUUCAGCGCCAACGCCAGGAGCACGACAUACGUCGCGUACGCGAUCGGCUGCGUCAUGAGAAAGAUCGAGUCCACCACCCCCGGCGCCUCGUCCUCGUUCGUCCACACCCGCAGCGUGAUCGUCGUCCCGACCACGCUGACGAACAGCCCGCCCGCCUUCAUCGCGUCCACGCGCUCGAUGCGAAGCGCCGCGCUCAUCGCCGCCGCCGCGAGCGGAAUCAACGGCUGCACCAUCGCGGUGUAGUUGGGCCCGCUGCGCUGAUUGCACACGAACACGAGCGCGUAGGCGGUGCCGAUGGCGGCGCCCAUCGGCAGCGGCCACGCGCGCUCCCACCCGCGCAGCGCGCGACCGCCUUCGCGUCUCGCGAGCCAGUACAGGAACGGCAGCGCGAGCGCGAGUCGCAGCGCGCAGAAGGAGAAGGGUGGGAUGUGAUCUAACGCGCUCGCCGCGGUGAUGUGCAUGCCCGCGAAGAGGAGCUGCGCGAGGACGAGCGCGCCGUGGCAGAAGGCGUUCGACGGGCGCGCGUACUGCGCGAGAGACCAGUCGAGGAGGGCGCGGGACGCGGCGCGGACGGCGGGCGCGAAGGUGCCGCCGCCGCCCGGGGGCGCCAUGAGUGACGUCGCGUCUCGCGACUCGGCACUUUUUGGUGGUUUACGCGUUUUCCGAGAAGAGGGUGAUGAAAAGACGUUCGUCGAGUCUCGCGGAGCUCCCUCCGAGCCGCGCGCGCGGCGUCGUGAUGAUGUCGAUACACGUCGUUCGUCUGUUUAUACAACUACAUGCACGCGUCGCGACUAUCCGUAUGAUACAUCAGGAGCUCUCGACGACGGCGCCGCCGCCGCUCCGGGCGCGACGGUCGACGGUUCACGUCCCCGCCGCCGCCGCCGCCGCCGCCGCCGCCGCCUUCCCGCCCUCCGCGAGCGACCACUUCCUCCCGUCCCGCAACCACGGCAACCGCCCCGCGUCCGGAUCCUCCGCGGCGUCCUUCACCUCCCUCUCGUACGUCUCCGCGUCGAUCCCCGCGAGCGCGCAGAACGCGGCGUCCGUCCGCGUCAUCGCGUACGUCGCCGUGCAUGGCCUCGCGUCGCCGCCGCCCGCGCCGACGCCGCGCGCCAUCAAGCCCUUCUUCCGCAGCGUCCGGACGCGAGGCACGAUCCGCCCUUUCAGCGAGUAACUAACCAACAUCACCGCGGCGUAAGCGUCGCACGCGGGGAAGAACUCGUGCGUGAGGUACGCCACCGUCGGCCGCAGCUUAUUGUCCACGCUGUACGCGAGCACGUUCGGCCGCGACUCGACGACUUUCGCCGCGCCGGCGACGCCGAGCUCGAGCUCCUCCGCGAGAAAUCGAAUCGUCGGCGCGACGUUCUUCUCCACGCUCAGCGACAACACCCCGGGGCUCUUCGCGACGAUAUUCGCCGCGCGGUCCGCGCCGAUAUCGAGCGCGUCCGCGAGGUACGCCAGCUUCGGUCGCGCGGCGCCGUCGACGCUCACGGCGAGGAGUUCCGGGUGCCGUCGCAACGCGCCGUCGCGUCUCGCGUCGUCGCCGCGAAAGACGUCGGAGUAAAACGCGCGCUUCGCGCGCAGCGUACCCUCCACGCUCAUGCAGAGCACCGCGGGUCGGCGCGUCGCGCACCUCGCGACGUCCCUCGGCGUCAUCCCGAGCUCCUCCGUCAAGAACGCGAGCGUCGGCGUCAGGUUGUCGUCGAUCGACUGCCACGCCAACGACGGCUGCUUACACAGCACGGCGCCGACGUCCUCGCGCGCGACGCCGCAGCGCUCGCGGAGCCACGCGGCGACGCGCUCGACGGACGCGAGCGAGCACACGAGGAGGCGCGCGUCGCGCCGCAGCGCCUUUUUGACCUGCGCGGGCGUCGCGCCGAGGCUGUCGAUCAGGUACCGCACCUUGGGCGCGACGACGGACGCGACGUCGUAGCCGCGCAGCUUGGGCGCGCGCCGCAGCGCGUCGUCGAUCUCCGUCGCGCUCAUGGACAGCUCGGUCGCGAGGUACGCCUCGAACGGCGUCGCCGCCGCCGCCGUCGUCGCGGAGGAGGCGUCCGAGUUGGACGGGGAGGGCGCGGGCGAGGUCGUCUCCGUCGCGGACGCGGCGACGCGGACAGUUCGGACGGCGCGUCGCGUCAUUUGACAUCGGACGGAGCGAGGUGCGCGCGGAGCGACGACGUCGGACGCGCCGCGUCGCGCGAGCGGCCGCGGUCGCCGCGGAGACGCCGCGGUCGCCGCGAGCGCGACGGACGCCGGCGUCGUCGUCGUCGUCGUCGUCGUCGUCGCGAGCAUGACCGACGGCUCGCGCGUCGAGCUGUGGCGAGGGAUGAAGGGCCACGCCACCGCAGUUUAUUAUUUUCAAACGCGAAGCUAUCUCGCGGACAGUGAUCUCGGCGCCCCCGCGCGCGGAUACCGUAACCCCCGUCGUCGCGCCCCCGACCCGCGCGCGAUGACGUCCCCCGGCGGCGAGCGCGAGCGCGAGCGCUUCCGCCAGACCCUGGACGGGCUGCUGUACUUCAACCCCGACGAGCCGUCGUCGGCCGCGAUCGGCGCACACCUCGGCGGGUCGUCCGCCCCCGCCUCCGCCUCCGCCUCCGCCGCGUCGCGAAGCGCGAACGAGCCGGACGCGCGCGGCCGCCGCGUGGCGCGCCCGGGCGACCGCGGAGACUUCCUCCGAAGGCUCGCGACGUUCGCGCCCGGGAAGUGGUUCGCGAAGCCGCCGAUCUUGUCCCCGGUCCCGUGCGCGAGGAAAGGAUGGGAGUGCGUCGCGGUCGACGCGCUGCGGUGCGAGGCGUGUCUCGCGCGCGUCAUCGUCCGCGCGCCGCCGGACGCGACGCGCGAGCAGCUCCUGGAGAUCGCGGUGAAACAGGCUGGGAAGCUCGACGACGCGCACGAGGAGUCGUGCGCGUGGAGAGGCGCGGCGUCGCCGAUCGCGCUCGCGCGGUUCCCGCGGGUCUCGGACGAGGAUCUGAGGAAAGAUUUCAUCGCGCGACGCGACGCGCUCGUCGCGGUCGACGCGCUGCCGCUGGUGACGUCGCCGAUCAGAGACGCGCUGGACGUCUCGACGUGCGUCUCGACGACGCGCCGCGUCAAGUGGCUGGCGCGCGAGGCGACGAAGAGCGAGAGCGGCGGCGCGGAGGGCGAAGAAACGUCGACCGUCGCCGUCGCCGGAAAACCCGGACCGCGCGACGACGCGCACGCGGCGGCGGCGACGACGCUGGCGUUGACGGGCUGGCGCGUGGACUCGAUCGUGCCGAACCGCGGCGUCGUGCUUCGCUGCGACAUGUGCGAGUCGCGCGCGGCGGCGUGGAACUUCCCGAAAGGGACGACCGCGAAGCGCGAAGACGGCGCCGGGGUCGCCGCGGCCGGAGGGGUCGACGAUUGGGUCGGCGCGAACGCGAAGCGGCGGAGAGCGACGGCGGCGGCGACGGGCGCGCAGCUCCUCGGCGCCAUCGGCGGCGCGUUCGGCGCGUUCGGCGGCGCGAUCGGGUCCAUCGCGGGCGGGGCGUCGCCGUCCGUCCCGGUUGGGGGGAGCGCGUUCGGGAGCGGCGGCGGGUUCGCGUUCGGCGUCGGCGCGGCGACGUCGACGCCGUUCGGUGCGCCGCCGGCUUCUGCGGGCGCGGCGGCGGCGGCGGCGGCGGCGCCGGCGAGGGUCGCGGACUCGAGCCCGAUCCGACCGUUCGGCGCCGCGCUCACCGCCGCGGGGGUCGACGCGUCCGCCGGGAAGCGCAAGCGCGGCGCGGGCGGCGACGAGGCGGAGGAUAAGACGGCGGCGGAACCGGAGCCGACGCCGACGCCGACGCCGACGCCGCCGCCGAGCGUGCCCGGCGCGAUGCACCCGCUGCGGCAGCACCGCGCGCACUGCGCGUGGGCGACCGUCAACGCGGACACGUUCAGCGGCGGCUUGGGCGCGGGCGCGGUCGCGGGCGUGCGCCCCGGGUGGGCGCGCGCGUUGGACGCGGCCGCGCCGGCGUCGGAGUUUAUCCACCUGGACGACGGCGACGACGACGACGACGACGACGACUGCGACGGCGGCGGCGGAGCGAAAACUCCCGGGGGAGGGAACGACGCUGCGGGGGGGGGAGGGAACGUGGACGAGGACGGCGCGGCCGUGGACGGCACCCCCGGCGGGUCCGGGGUGAAGAUCGAUUACUCGUACUUGGGCGCGAGGACCGCGGUGGCGAGGUACGUCACGGGAGAGUCGUGAGCGCGGCGUUGGAGCGUAUCUAGCGUUUUGAACGAACGGAAAUUCUUUCUUCUUCAUCACAUGUCGUGUCGUCGGCACCACAACUCCCCCCAUUCGAAAAAUCUUUUAUCAUGACAUUCACGACAUGUGGUCCACUCGCACCUAUCACAGGAGGCCAUGAUACCGUCGAUCUCGUCGCUGGAGUGGAGACCGCAGACCCACGCUCUGCAACACUCACAAAUUUCCCCGCCGUUGCUAUCGUUCGCGCAGUACUCACACAUCACGUUCGUGUCGGUUCCUUCGCAGAUCACGCACACACCCACGCCCCUUCCGCAGAGAAGUUCUUCGCAUACGAACGCGCCAUCCAUGCAUCCCCAAACAUCGAAAGGGCCUUCAUCGAACGUCUUGACCUUGCUGCGGUCGUGUUUGACGUAAAAGUCCAGGCACCUCAGGUCCCAGGCCGCCACGGUCGUCCCCUUGAGUCGCAUGCGGUCGAGCGUGACCCCGUCGUGGAGCUUUUUAUAGGGCCAUUCGGAGCCCGGCGGCAGCCUGAUGUGGAUUCCCUCGAUGCGAUCCAUGAAUUCUUCCAUGUCGUCGAUGGAGGCCUCUUCGAGUUUGGGGACGUGGUGAAGUCGAGCUCAGAGGGAAACGACGCCCUCUCUCUCCCCGCCUCGCGCCACACCCGCGACACGCACAUCAGCGCCGCGCGCGUCGGGACGUCCUCGAUCUUCGAGAGGAUCACGCACGCGAGAUCCGCGGCGACGUCGAAGCUUCCUGCCAUGCCGUCCGAGCUCGCCGCGCGGGGCGAAGUGAAGCGCCCGCCGCGUCGUCGUGGCCUUUUUUCCUUCUGGGUGCGUGGUUCCGCCGGGCUCGUCCACGUCGUCGACAAGUCUCGUGUCAGGCUUAUCCCGUCUCGUCGACGCCGACGCUCCGUCGCCGCGCCCUCCUCACACCACGCCGCGCCCGUCGCCGCGCGUCGAUCGAUCGCGCGCGUUCGCUUCGACACGCCACGCGACGCGCGACCGCAUCGCUCACCGCGACGCGCUUCCGUCCGCCUCCCUCUCGGACGCGUCCGAACGAUCGAUCGCGUCGUCGAUCGCGAGUAAAGGUGCCCAUCUUCGCAACCGCAGUCGUCCACAGCGCGUCCGCCGCCGGUCUCGAUGUCGUCCGCGCUCUCGACGCCGCCGCGCGUCUCCGCGCCGAGACGCGCGCGCGCGUCGCGCCGCCGCGCGUCGUCGGUCCGCCCCGCGGCGACCGCGAAGAAGCCCGCGACGACGACGACGCGCGAUCGAUCCGUCGUCGUCGACACGUCCUCGUCCUCCUCCGAGACGACGACGACCGCGACGACGAAUCCGGUCGCCGCCGCGCUCGCGGCGCUCGUCCUCGCGACGUCCCCCGCGCCGGCGUCGCUCGCGUCGCUCGCCGCGUUCGCCGGCGACGGCCUCGCGGUCGGUCUCCUCUCUCACCCCGCCCCCGCGGAGGCGGCGCUAAGCAACCCGAACACGCGCCUGCCGCGCAACGGCGUGUCCGCGUUGCGCCGCGCGGUACCCGCGGUCAACCCGGAGGCGGGCGACGUCCAGCGUAACCUCGAAGAGGCGGCGUAUCUGCUGCGUAUCCCGCAGAGGAAACCGUGGGGCACGAUGGAGGGCGACGUCAGGGCGAGCCUCGCGAUCGUGCGGGAGAAGCGCGCGAAGCUCCUGGAGCCGGUGCCCAAGGCGCGUCCCAUACACUGGUCUCCAUACGACCGCGUUGGCGUGGUGAACGCCGAUCCUUAAGGACUUCGCCCGGCGUCUCUCUCCACACACCCCUUGCUUUCAAUCCCCGCCUUCGAUGCCUUUCAACUCCGCUUCUGACGCCUUUCAACUCCACCCCGACGUUCGCUCGUAUGGAACGACCCUAAGGACGGCGACGCGUUUAAAACCGCGGAGGAUACGCUCGCGGAGUUGGAGCAACUCUUCGUCGAGCUCGGGCCGAUCGCGGCGUCGCAGGACGUCGAGCGGUUCGACCGCGGCGUCGCGAUGGCGUUAGACGCGACGUCCAGGCUCAGGGUGCUUCAAGCGCCCGGGCUGCCGUUCGACGUCCCGCGGCGGUACGACGCGCUGCCGCGUUUGACGGGCCGCGCGACGGUGGACCUCACGAUUAAGGCGCGUUCUAUCUUGCGUACGCUGGUCCCCAUACGGCCGCGUCGGCGUGGUGAACGCCGUUCCUUAAGAACUUUCGUUCCCGGCGUUUGUUUCUCUCCGCCCACCCCUCGCUCACAAUCCCGACGCACACACCUCGACGCCUUUCAACUCUGCUUCUGACGCCUUUCAACUCCACCCCGAUAUUCGUCGCUUCGAAUGAUGGAACGACCCUCAGAAAGCCGGCGACGGGACGUUCGGAUUCGUCAACGGCGACGAGGUGAAAACCGCGACGCUUCGCGUCGUCGCGGACGGAUACAACGCGCCGCUCACGGCGGGAAACUUCGUGAACAAGGUGUACAACGGGUUUUACGACGACGUCAAGCUGAAGAAGAGCGAGACGGCGACGCUCGUGGACGUGACCAACGCGCUCGCCGACGACACGCUGCCGCUGGAGGUCAAGGCGAUGGACUUUUACGAGCCCAGGUGGCGGUCCGCGCUGAACGUGCAGGGCGGCGAGGAGAUGCCGACGCUGCCGCUGAGCGUGAACGGCUCGAUCGCGAUGGUGCGGGGCGAGGAGGACGGCACGUCGUCGCCGGAUCAGUGGUUCAUCUACCAGUUCGACAAGCGAAGCGCGGGUCUUGGCGGCAUGGCGUUCGAAGAGGUGCGUUCUUUACACUGGUCCCCAUACGACCCCGUCCGCGUGGUGAACGCCGUUUCUUAAGGACUUCGCCCGGCGCUUCUCUACGCCCAGGCCACGGUUUCAAUCCCCACCCUCGAUGCCUUUCAACUCCACCUGACGCCUUUGAACUCCACCCCGACGUUCGCGCGUGAAAGGGCGAGUUCUCCGUGUUCGGAUACGUCGUCGGGGGCGAGGAGGAGGGGUUCCUGUCGCAGCUCGCGACCGGGGACGUCAUCGUGAAGGCGGAUGUCGUGGAGGGGAUGGAUCGUCUCGUGAACGGCUCGCGGCGAACGCAGGUGACCGGUUUGAUCGACAAGUCGGCGCCGCCAUUUGGCGCGUCUGAUGACGUCCCCGCCGCCGCCGCGUCGUCGGUGAAAUUCGUCGGAAAAUACGCGGAUCCGAAACACCCCGGGUGCAAGCGCGAGGUGUCCGGGUCCGGGGAUACCCUGGACGUCACCGGCACGGACGGCGCGCCCGGGUGUUUGAACGGCGAGCCGCAGAGACCGUGGGCGCUGACGGGGGUCGUGCGGUCCGAGGAUGAGAUCUUCAUCGACUUUUCCCCGAAGGGCGGUCCGAGGGACCUGCUCGGGAAGUGGACGGGGAAGGGGAUCUUGUUCCCGGACGGGAACGAGUGGAAGAAGAUCGAGUAGUGAUGCCGCGCGCGAUGUGACGUGACGUGACGCGGUGUUGGCCCCACGUCGCGCGGCCGCGUCGUCGUGGCGUACUUCUCGCGAAGGAAGGAAUGUAUUUAAAAGAAUUCAUGCCUUCUUCGCGCUCCGCCGAGAUUCGGCGACUAAGAGACGCUAUCAAUCACAACACGUGUCCGAGAGAGAGAAACUCCGCCUUCGCCGUCUCCGCCGUCUCCCCUGUCGUCUGAACACCCCCGAAACGCCCAGGGCGCGUACGUUACUACGCGCCCCCGCCGCGUCAGAUCUCAUCGCUCGUCAAUCGCUCUCGCCGAUUCGCCAGUUUUUUCGUAGCCGCGUCUACCCCGGGCGGGCCGCCGCGCGCGUAACGGCUGAAUACCGCCAGUUACGUUACUCACCAGAGAUAAUACGCGCUCGCUGCACGCGCGCGAUCACCCCGCCCGCACGACGCCGCGGCGCGUUUAAGAGCCGUGAAUCUUGAUCACGUCCUUCUUCGCGAUCUUCUCGUCGAUCAGAAACUGCGCGACGACUUUCCGCUGAUCGCCUUGGAGCUGUAUGAUCUGCCCUAGGUCCGGGUCAUCAACGAUCGUGCCGUUGCAGUUGAACUUCUUCUUGCACUCCUUGAGGAUCACCUUCUUGUUGAUCUUGGGGUUGAUGCCCUGCGAACGUGUGGUUAAUUAAUUAAGUGGUGAGGGUUAAUUAACAGGUUGCUGAACGGGAGGGUCCUCGUCACGGUGUGGGCGAAAGAAUAAUAUUAUUCGUUGAGGGCGACGAAAACCAAACGACGACGGGGCGGGGGGGAUCUCGCGCGCGCGCGCGCACCUGGAGCGUCGUCAGCGACUUGCGGCCGUUGCGCUGCUGCGUGCGGAUGUGGAUGUAGUUAGACUGAACGUCUUGGGCGUUGGAGCUAUCUUGCUUAGCUUUCUGGCCAGACUCUCCUCCAAGGUCGUCGGCGAAGUCGAAUUGGGGUCCUGCGGCGGAGAGAGCGAGGCCACGGCGCGGUCAGCGGCGACGCUCGGAAACGACGGCGCGCGACGCCGCGAGGGCGAUCGAGAGGACUACGCGCGAACGAACGCGCGGAGACGGACGACGACAUCGCGCGCCGCGAGCGACGGCGCGGCGCGGGACGUCGACGGCGACGCGGCGCGCGUCGUCCGCGCGCGCGCGAUCCGCGGCGAACGAUGAGAGGGAGGAAGGGCACCCCGCGGGCGGCCGAGAAAAAGCGCGUCGCGAUCGUCGGCGCCGGAGAUCGACGGUCGAGGACGCACCGAGACUGUCGAGAGCGUCGGUCAUAACACGAAUAGAACGUGCUUUUGGGUGCGUGCGAAAGCGCGGAGCCGAGGGUGGGUACUAGCGGCGGACGCGCUCGCGGGUGUGGCGGGCGGCCGGCGGAGGCGACCGGCUUCAUCAGUUCGGAAAUCGAUGCCGACGCGGACUGGACAGGACGAGCCGAGCAGUGCACUCUGACGACUUCACGAAAACUGACGCGCCGGUGUUUUUUUGGUUUUGGUUUUGGUUUUGGCGGGCGGCGGCGCGUGAACGACGACGACGACGCGAGCGUUGUAUAUAUCAUACCGCGUAUCACUCCGAUAUUAAACCUCGAAGUUCGACGCGCACGUCCUCCGCCUCUCAUCCUCCGUCCGCGGGGGCACGCGCUCACCGCCCGAUGUGCCUCAAGAUCUUGUCGUCCGUCUCGAACGUCAUCUCCUUCUUGUCCCUUCCGCUCGCGACGUAAAACGCGAACCGUUCCUUCAGAUCCGACGCGAGGUCGUGCUUCGGCGCCCAGUCCAGAAGUUCCAGCGCUUUCGCGGGGUAGGAGUAGAAGUGGAUCGGGCGGAACGGGAACGCCUUCUUGACCUCGACGCCGUCCGGGAGGUUCUUCGGGUCGUAGUUGGCGAUCUUCGGCUCCGCGCCCGCGGCGGCGGCGCAGAGCUGCGCCAUCCCGUUGAGCGUCACCGCGCGGUUCGUGACUGGUCGAUCGGAUCGGUGGUGGUGACGUGGAGGGAUAUGAUUGGUCGGUUCGUGUAAAUAUCGUGAUGCCAUUCGUCGAGAGGAGAUGGCGUGUCGGAUCGUGUGGUGGUCGACGCGCGGACGUUUCCGCCGCUUUGAAAGAGAGAGAGAGAGAGGGAGGGCGUCGCGAACGCGUACCGGCGUUGAAGAUUUGCCCCGCGGCGGCGUCGUUCCCGACCGCGGCGGCCAUCAUCGUCGCGACGUCCUCCGCGUGCGCGACGACGCUGAGCUGAUCGCCGCUGCCCGGGACCGGGAUCGUCCGCCCUCUCACGAUGCGGUCGAAGAACCACUCCUCGCAGUCUUCGGGUCGUUCCGCGACGAUGACGCGACGACGACGUCGGGGCGGAGUCGAAAGGCGUCAGAAGCGGAGUUGAAAGGCUUCGCGGGCGGGGAUUAAAAAAAGCAUGGGAUGUGCGGAUAGAAUCGCCCGCGCGCGGGUAAAGUCCUGUCCUUAAGGAUCGGCGUGCACAUCGCGAACGCGGUCGUAUGGGGACCAGUGUGGUAAGAUAUAUAGAACGCGCCUUUGUUGUUGCCGUAUCCGGUGAAGUACUGCGGGCGGAACGACGACAUCUUGAACGGCAUCGUCUUGAGAUGCGCCUCCACCUUGGCGUGCCCGGCGCUCUCCUUCACCGCGUCGCCCUCGAGGUGCGGCGGCGUGACCGUCGGGAUGUACAUCCCCGCGGACGACACGAAGAAGAACUGCUUCGCGCCGGCUUUCACCGCGAAAUCCGCGACGGGCCCCACGGUGUCCAUAUCCUUCCCGUUGUUGUCCACGACGACGUCGAACUCGGGCUGCCCCGGGAGCGUCGCCAGGUCGUUCGGGUUCGCCCACAUCGUCUUCACCCCCGCGGACGUGAGCUCGCCGAAGUACGUGAACGGCGGCUUCUGCAUCUUUUUGUCAUCCGCGGUGCCGACGACGCAGAGCGUGACCGCGUGGCCGUGCGCGGCGAGCGUCUUGGCGAGCCAGAAGCCGAUGUUCGCGUGCCCGCCGCCGUUCGUGUUGACGAUGAGGACCUUUGAGGGCGGCGCGGCGGCUUGGACGCGGACCGCGCGCGCGCGAGGCGCCUGGGCGGAGGAGGGGGGGAAUGGGGGGGAUGGGAGGGAGGGCGUCGAUGAGAGGAGGCCGCGGCGCGAGAACGGAGAACGGCGAAGGAUAAGAAGAGAUCGACCGACGACGCGAUCGGCUCGCGCGAUACUGUAGUUCAGGCGGACCGGCGGGCGGGACGACGCGCCGACGCGUGGGGCGCACCUUGGCGCGGCGCGCGGUGCGGCCGUUCGCGCGGCGGAUGAGGCGCGCGCCGGAGGGCGCGCGGAUGCAGGCGCUCGUUGCCGUGGCGGCCAUGUCGUCGAGUGCGGGCGGGAGUGCGCGCGAGGAGGGUGCCGCGCGGACGAUCAGCGUGCUGACUUGGCAAGCAGACAGUUUUAGCGCGAUCUUGUUAUACAGUAAUCUUUUGCGGCGGGACGCACAACUGUCGCGGCGGCGGCGGCGGCGGCGGUCGCGGGAGUCGCGUCUGCGUCUGCGUCAGCGCUUGGCGCGCGCGCGACGCCUCCCCGGCGGUCGGCGCGGGACGCGCGAAGGGCCCGGCGUCGGCGCGCGGCGGCGCGGUCGCGUUCGCGUUCGCCACCGCGAUCGCGAUGGCUGCGCGAAACGCGAGUUCGGCACGAAUCGCGCGUCAACCUCUCGCGAGUCCCCGCGUGUUCGACAGAGUGUUCGCGUAUUCGUUAGCGUGUCUUACUCUCGGUUUGAUUUGGAACCUCGCUGCCGAUGCGGGCUCAUCUCAGGUAAAGUGCGCGCGACCAAAGCGCGUCGCGCUUCUGAUGUACGGCGAAGCGCGAUCUCUGAACGUGACGCACUGCAGUAUACGCGAGAACGUCGUGGCACCGUUUCUAGACGCCGGGCACAGCGUGCGCGUCUUCGUAAGUGCACGUGACGACGCGGACGUGUGGCAGUACGGUGCUUUCAUUAAUAAAUGCGAGGAAACGUUCGGAAGCGAAGCCUUCUCCGGGAAGGUGGUCGUCGAGACCCCGACGAAGCCACCGGGUACGUGCGUGGACGCGGUGUGGGCGAUGUACGAGAAGAGCAAAGCGUUGGAGCCGGCGUGGGGUAAGCCGUACGUUGAAGAGUUGCUGGUGCAAUUUGCGCAGAGGGAGUCGGCUAACACGCUUCGACGGAAACACGAAGAAGCUAAAAAUAACGAUGGCGCCUUCGAUAUCGUCGCGCUCGUCCGCCCCGAUGCACAGUACGCGUCCAAACUGCAGCUUCAUCGUUUGCCGUGUACUCCCCAGCCGCACACAGUCCACGGGCCGGGGUGGCAGCAAUACUUCGGAAUGAACGAUAGGAUGUUGAUCGCGUCGCCGCCGGGCGCGGCGUUCAACCACUACAUCUCGAUGUACAGCGGCUUAUGUCUGGGCGAUGCAAAUGAAGGCAAGAAACCCGCGGCGAUCGAGAUUCCGCGCACGAAAAAAGGGUUGAACGCCGAGCGCUUAUACGCGUGGUGGAUGCGGCGGCCCGACUUGGCCGGGUAUGAUGAUAAAGAGAACCAUGAUAUCGUCGCUCGGAAAGCGGACGAGCUCGCGAAGCUCACAGGCGUACGAUCGAGACUCGCGGCGGAGUGGAACAAGCGAAGAUGGCGUUUUACAGUCUCCACGAACCUGCUGCGGGACUUUGUGUUUUAUCGCGUGAGGCGCGGCGAGACGAUUUCGCAGUCUCCUGACGCGAAAUUCGGUGUCUGGGCGAAUUCAUUGGGCUUUUUUGGUUUGGGAACCGGUGGUUUGGGUAGGAAUACGUCGCCGAAGCGAUGGGUAGACGUGUUGAAGGAUGCGGCGUCGUGCGAUCCGCUGGUUAAAAAUGUGGAGGGUUCGGGCGCGUUCCGGAAAAGACUCGAAGGGACUUCAAAAAAAUGAAAUGGUUUUACAUCAUCGUCGUCGCGACGCGGUGCGUGCUUCGUCGUCGUAUCAUACAGUCGUCGUCGUCUCUUCGUUCGUUCGUUCGUUCGAUCGAUCGUUCGUUCGUCGCGUUUCAUUCUCCUCGGUCCCGUCCACCGAUCCCUUGGUUCGUCUCCGGCACGAUCGGCACCGCCCAGUCGCAGUUAUCCUCCACGCCGAGGUUGUCCACGCCGCGGAUAAUCUUGAACCAGCCGGACUCGCCCCAGUACGUCCCCCACGAGUUCCGACCGAUCCAGUACUUCGUCCCGUCCUCCGUCGUUCCGUACCCCGCGAUGGAGAUGAUGUGAUCCUCUUGCGUGCACCCGGUCGUGUCCUCGAACACGCCGCCGGCGUAGGCUUCGAACUCGGGGGUGACGCAGAGGCCGCACGCGAUCGGUCCUCGCGUCGCGAUCUCAGCCAUCAUCUUCUCUUCGCCGGACACCGUGCCGUGCUCGCUGAUGUGAUACACCCUCGCCGCGGGCUCCUCGAUCGCGUAACACCCCUUGUUGUUCGCCGCGAACGGCGGAUCGCACGUCUGACACUUGUGCAUCGCGCUGCACGCCAUGUCCUUGGCUUGGUAGUUUUGGCACGUCUCGUCGGUGACGCCGUUUUGUAAGAUCCACUGAUACGCCGCCGUGGGGUCGCCGCCGGAGCAUCCCUGCGUGCCGCCGCCGGUGACGCAGUCUACGAGCACCUGAGGACUGAGGUCGAUCUCCGGGAACGCGCCGUCGCGCAUCAGCGCGAGUCGAUCGGACAUCGCGGACGUCGUCCCGUGCGCCCAGCACGAGCCGCAGUACUGCGGGAUGUGCUGGUUGCGGUUGAUGGACGCGAGGCUGAGGGUCGAGGGUCCAUACAAAGCGAAUGUCGGGGUGGAGUUCAAAGGCGUCAGAAGCGGAGUUGAAAGGCGCCGAGGUGCGUCGGGAUUGAAACCGAGGGACCCUGGGCGGAGAGAUGCGCCGGGAGAGAAAGUCCUUAAGGAUCGGCGUUCAUAUCGCCAACGCGGUCGUAUGGGGACCAGUGUAAGGAGAACGCGCCUGACGCCGCCGAGUACGUCGCGCACGUCGUACGACGCUGGGAGGUCGGCGACGCCGAUAGUCUCGUGCGGCUCCGGCGUCUUCACGGACGUCUCGAUCAGGACCGGAGAGCGACGCGCGCACGGGGUGACGUAGUCGUGGUGCGUCCCUUUUUUUACCGCGGGGUUCGUCUUGUAGGAUCUCUUCUUCUCCGUCGUCGGCGUUUUCGGCGGGUUCGGCGGCGUCGUAGGCGCGCGCGUCUCCAUCUCCUUCGGGACGCCCCACGUGCAGUCCGUCUCGAUCCCGAGGUUUUGGCCGUGCAUCUUGAUUCGGAAGAACCCGCCCUCGCCCCAGUACGUCCCCCACGAGUUCCGUCCGAUCCAAUACUCCUCGCCCGAGUCGUCGUCGACGCCGUAGCCGACGAGCGACAGCUCGUGGUUCGGGAAGUACGGCGUCCACUUCCUCUCGGAGUAGAUCCCACCCGCGUACGCCUCGAACCCGUCCGUGACGUGGAUCCCGCACGAGAUCGGCCCUCGCGUCGCGAUCUCCGCCUUGAUGCGCUCCGCGCGCGUCGUGACGCGGCCGGUCGCGUCGUGGUCGUCCUCGGCGAAGUCGCCGAAGUCGCCCACGGUGUACUUGGUAUACGAAACCACGGGCGCGCACGUCCCGGGAAGAAACGGCGCCGGGUCCGUCCCGGGCUCGCACGUCUCGCACCGCCCGUACGGAUCGCACUUCCCGUCGACGGCCUCGUAGUUCUGGCACGUCUCGUCUGGGAGACCGCGCGACGCGAUGUACUCGUACGCCGCCGCGGGGUUGCCGCCCUCGCAGCUGCCGCCGCCGCGGCAGUUGAUGAGGACUUGGGGCGAGAUGAUGAUCUCGGGGAAGGUCGCGUUCCUCUGAGGGUCGAGGGUCCAUACGAGCGAUGAUAUCGGGGUGGAGUUCAUAGGCGUCAGAAGCGGAGUUGAAAGGCAACGCGGGCGGGGAUUGAAACCAGCGAGGGGUGGGCGGAGAGACACGCCGGGAGGAAAAGUCCUUAAGGAUCGGCGUUCACCGCGCCGACGCGAUCGUACGGGGACCAGCGUGAGAUAGAACGCGCCUGAAUCUUCAGCCGGUCCGACAGGCUCGACGUCGUCCCGAACGCCCAGCACGAGCCGCAGUACUUCGGGAUGUGCUGGUUGCGCGUCUCCGUGAGGUAAUUGACGCCGUUCACGUCGCCCCAGAAGACGUUCACGGCGAGGUCGCGGACGUCCAUCUCGUGGUGCGGGCGCGGGGAUCGAACGCGCGGGCCGGAGGAGGAUUUGGAGGAGGAGGAGGAGGAUGACCACGUCGCUUUCGUUCGGCAUCCGCCUCUGUGCCCGCGGCGGCCGGUCGCGGCGUCGGAGACGGCGUUCGCGGCGUCCGCAACGCGCGCGACGACGCCGUCGAUGAAGCGCUCGUAGGCGCCCCUCAUCGCGGAGGACGAGGACGACGCGACGCGGUUUUUCUUUUCAAACGACGACCGCGCGAAAGGUCGCGCGGCGUGCGCGCUCCCGGGGGCGAGCGCCAGAAAGAGCGCGAGCGCGAGGAGCGCGCGUCGCGCGAAGAGCGACGACGCGCGCGUCGCGGCGCGCGCGACGGCGCGGGUUGGGGCGGGCAUCGCGAGGACGAGGGUCGUGCCGCGCGCGGGCGGAUAUGUGGAAGUGACGUCAGAUCUCUUCGCGCCAAGACUGGAAGUCGCCGGAACGCGCUGACGUGACAGGAAGAUCGCGAACCUUCGUUACCAGCAAAUCGCUCGUUAGGUCUGCCGUCGUCGUCGUCGUCGCUCGCGCGCACAGGACGCGGCGCGAGGAAGACGAGGAGGAGGUCUUCGACUCGCCGCGGACGGGGAGAGCGCGAGCGCGGCGCCGCUCGGAUGGCGGGGAUGGCGGACCCCGGGGGCGGAGGACGAUGGCGCGCCGUCGCGUCGUCGUCGUCGGCGUCGUCGACGUCGGCGUCGUCGGCGUCUUUAUCGUCGACGAUUAUUCAUCUGAUGAAUCAUCGUCGGAGCGCGGUGGUCGCGCGACGGCCGUCCGACGACGACGAAACGCGACGACGCGGACGCGGGUCGCUCGCGACGAUGCGCGGCGUCGGCAGCGGGUUCGGAAAGUGGAUGCAGAAGACGUACCCGGAGUGCUUCGAGACCCACGGAGGCUUGCGCGGCCAGGGCGACGGCGGAGGCGGCCGAGGAGGAAGAGGUCGAGGCGGAAGAGGGACCGCGGGCCGAGGCGGCGGCAGACCCGUGGAUCCACAGCGCACACAGCUGGGGACGUACGACCACGUCUACGUCGACGUCAACAACGUCCUCCACGUCGCCGCGCAUCACACCAAGACCGAGGAGGCGUUCUUCAAGAAGCUCUUCGCGCUGCUCGAUCGCACGAUGCGCCUCACGCGCCCGCAGUACACCGUCACGCUCGCGCUCGACGGACCCGCGCCCAUCGCGAAGACGAUCACGCAGCGCCGCCGACGCAUCCGCCUGUCGAGCGGCGAGAAAGUGCCGCUCUCCGAGGACGCGCCGCGGCUCCUGAAGAUCGGGCUCACGCCCGGGUCCACGCUCGCGCUGCGGAUCGACAGAGCGCUUGAGUACUACGCGGCGACGCGUUUGCUGUCGAGAAACCAUCUCCCGAGGGGCGUCCUGUUUGAAAUCUCCGGGACGCGCGUGCCGGGCGAGGGCGAGGUGAAGGUGCUGCGGAGCAUGAAGACCAGGGAGAAGAACGCGCGGUUCAAGGGCCACUCGCAUCUCAUCGUGAGCGAGGACAGCGACGCGCUGCUGCUCGCGCUGACCGCGGAGCCCGCCAACGUGUUCGUGCUGUCUUCCAAGGUGCGUUCUAUCUCACACUGGUCCCCGUACGACCCCGUUCGCGUGGUGAACGCCGUUUCUUAAGGACUUUCUCUCCCGGCGCAUCUCUCCGCCCACACCUCGCUUUCAAUCCCGACACAACUCGACGCCUUUCAACUCCGCUUCUGACGCCUUUCAACUCCACCCCGACGUUCGCUCGUAUGGACAAUUACCCUCAGCUCGUGUUCUCCGCCGCCGCGUUUAACGCGUCGCUCGCGGACGAACUCCCGCGCGGCGUCGGGAUCGCGGGCGCGCGCAGGGACUUCGUCGCGCUCGCGGUGAUGAUGGGGAACGACUACCUGCCCGGGUCGAGAUUCGGGGUGAAGUACUCGUGGCGCGCGUACAGGCAGCUGCGCACGGGCGAGCCCGGACCGUGGAUCACGGUGGACGAGGAGGAGGAGCUCCUCGAUCCCGCGGAUGGCGACGGCGUAGACGUCGCGAUCCCCUCGAGCUCGAACCACUCCGUCGCGAAGGACGUUGCGUGGGGGAAGUACAGAGACACGCCUCUGUUCCCCUCGCCGACGGAGCGGGACCUGAGCGAGGACGUGUAUCGGUGGGGGGACGGGCACGCGCGGGGCGCGGCGUUCACGGCGGGGAAGAUGGCGUUUCGACACCCGCCGCCCGUGCACUGGGAGAUGUUGCGGGACUUUUCAAAGGUGUUAUCCGACCCGGAGUACGUGAAGCGGCAAGUGCACGACGGUUUACGGCCCAGGGCGGACGUGCAGAGGUCCGUGAACGCCGCCGCGGCGCUCGUCGCGUGGUUCGGAGACGACGACGACGACGACGACGACGCGGGAGACGACGACGACGACGACGACGAAGACGAAGACGACGAUGACGCGGCGUCUUCCUCCUCCUCCGCGGUGAAAGCGGCCGUCGUCGAGCCGCGCGUUGCGAACGUCGCGGGCGUCGGCGGCGUCCUCCGCGCGAGCGCGGACCCGCAGCAGAGCACGCGACGCGCGUACGAGUACGUCCAAGCCGUCGGCUGGGUCUUGGAGAUGUACUACGCCGGCGCGUGCCUCGACUACGGGUACAACUUCGUCUACCCCACGACGGAUUCGAAGAGCGACAUGAGCGAGGCGGACUUGAACGAGGCGACGAAGGCGACGUUGGCGGCCGCGGCGGCGGCCGCGAAGGUCGCGCCCGGAGGAGGGGGCGGCAACAGCGCGAACAACGGCAACAACAGCGGGAACAACGCCGCCAACGCCAACCCGGGCGGCCGGACGCAACUGCCGCCCGUGCAUCCCGUGGACGUCGCGGAUUUCAUCUCGAUCCCGCUCACGUACGACCCGACGCUUGACCCUCUCCGCGACCCCGAGCGCGCGUCGAUCGCGUACCUGAACCGGUUCCCGAUCACCCCGCUGGCGUACUCGCUCGCCGUCAUUCCGAGAGGAGGACGGAGCUUGCUCGCGCGGGGCGUUCGGCCGCUCGUCGAUCCGGGGAGCCCGGUGUAUCACCUGUUCCGCGACGACUACUGCGUGACGUGCAUCAAGCACCGGAUCACCGCGGGGCCGCUCGAGCGCGUGAUUCAGAGAGAGGCGGAAGGCGGCGGCGGCGGCGGCGGCCCUGGCGGGAUCAUGAAGCCGAGGUCGGGGAUGGACAAGGACCGCAUCGGGAGCAGGGCGGAGAAGGUGCUGCUCGCGAAAAAGUUUGCCGGCGGCGACGAAGAGAUUCGCAAAGCCGCGCGCGCGGGCGGCGACGUCGCGAAAGAGUUUCUCCGAAAACUCAACCGCCGCCACCUCACGCACAUGAGCACCGCGCGGCAGCACGAGCAAGACAAGCCGCCGCCGCCUCUGAACGACCUCGAGGGCGCGGUGGCGCGAGCGUCAAUCGACGGCGCGCUCUCCGAAGACGAGGAGACGAUUCGAACGCUCGCGGACCAGCCGGUGCUGAUCUGGCACCAUGGUCCCAGCUCGGACCCGCCGGGCUUGGACUCGAGCGCGCUGACGGCCGAGGACGACAUCCCGGCGUGGGCGACGACGGUCGCGCCGCCGGGGUGCCGUCACGUCGGGAAGCUCAUGCGAGAGAUUCGGAGGUACGACGGCGACGCGAGCGCGGUGGUGAGUCGAUGGGCGGUUGGCGGCGAACGCGCGCCCGCGCCUCGAGACGUUGGGGGGGGGGGAGGGAGAGGCGGCGGCGGACGCGGCGGCCAGCGAGACGGCGGCGGCGGGAGGGGCGCAAACACCGCCAACGGACAGGGCGGCGGACAGCGCGGUCGCGGCGGCGGGAGAGGCGGCGGGCGGGCGCGCGGUUGGAGGCAGCCCGCGCCCGCCGGCGCCGCGAGAGGAAAGGAAAAGGAAAAGGAAAAUGCGGCGGGGAUCGAGACGCCCGCGAACGCGGCGGGCGAGGCCGCGGCGAGGCCGCCGCCCGCGCGCGCGAACAGAGUCGCGCGGUUCAGAGGCGGGCGCGGGGGCAAUCGCGCGCACGGCGGCGGCGGCGGCGGCGGCGGCGGCGAACGCGGGUCCUCCGCGAAAGUUCGCGCGUUUCCCUCGAUCUCGGCGGCGACGGCGGCGCGGGUCGCGUUCGCGUUUUUGUAGUUGAACCUUAUGAUAUCUUCACGUGAUAUGCGACGUUCUUCUUCUUCUUCUUCUUCUUCUUCUAUCUAUCCGUUCACGCCCAUGAGACCCUCGAAGACGCCGUCCUCCUGCGUGAUGAUCUCGCUCCCCACGCAAAUCGUCCCCGGCGCGCCGACGACGUUGGUGUACUUCGCCUUUCCCGUUCGUUUCUUCCCGGCGGGGGUGUACCGCUUGUUCCAUCCCUCGUACCCGCCGUCCACCUCCGCGAUGUCGUCGUACCCCGCCAACACGCCCUUCGCGCGCAGACGCGCGAGGACGACGGCGGCGCCGUCGGGCGCGCCCGUCGCGUCGGCGCCGCCGAGAAUCAAGAGCGGUUUCGACUUGUCCGCGUGCGCCUCGGCGAACGCGUCUUCGAACGCGUCGUUCACUUUCGUCUCCCAGUGCAUCGGUCGACCGGUGAUGAUCACCGCGGGGACGUUCACGGACCCGACGGGGGCCUCGCGGUCGUGAUCGCGCGCGCCGCGGACGUCGACGAGCGUCACGCCGUCGUUUUUGAACGCGUCGAACGCCGUCGCGACGUCCACGACGGGCCACUCGCGAUCGAAUUUCAGUUUCGGCGGUUUCGGCGGCGGCGGCGCGGCGCGAGAACUCUUCUCCUCCGGCGGCGGCGGGUUUCUUCGUCUCUCUUCGUCGCGCUGUCUCUGCGCCGCGCGCAUCGCCUCGGUCGCGUUCCUCUCGAGCGCCUCCUGCCGCGCGCGUUGUUCGUCCGUCAUCGUCUCCGCGGCGACGACUUCGGGGGGCGGUCUCUCCCUCCUGCUCGGAUCUUCCCUCACGACCUCGUCCCAGUCCUUCAUCGUUCUCAUGUAGUCCUCGCUCAGGCGCUUCUCGUUCACGAGCCGCUGCUCGCGCGCGAGGUCGUCCGCGUGUCGCAUGAGCGCCUCCUCGGAGCAGUCCUGCACGGUAAAGUCGGGUUUCCAGAGCACGAAAUCGCCCGGGUCGUGCUCGUCGUCCGGCCGCUCGCGCGUCCUGUUCUUCAUCAGGUGCUCGCCCAUGGCUUUCGUGACGUGCCGCUGCCCGGUCACCGGGUCCGGGGUCUCGCUCCGGAAGCUCUCCGCCCACUCGACGAUGCACCGGUCGUACAUCCGCGCGCGCGUCGCGCCGAAGAAAUCGAGCGGCUGACCCUCGUGUCUCGCGACGAGCCGCUCCACUGUCUCCCGGCUCACGUCGUCGUCGCGGUACAUCGCGUGCACCAUGUCCGCGAUGUCCGUUCGCGUCGGCUGCCAGUAAAACUUCUCCAUGCGCCCGUCGCGAAGGAGCGGCGCGUACAGCGUGCUGAGGUCGUUCCCGGUGACGAUGAUGGGCACUCGGCGGAUUCUCUCCUCCUCUCGAUACUCGUGAAUCUCGUCGUCCUCCUCGUUCGACACCUGCGUCGGGUGGUCGCACAGGUUCAUCAGCGUUCCCAUGACCAUCUGCGUGUUCACCGUCGCCUGCGUGCGCUUAAAUCGUCCCACGCCGGCGUCGAUGUCGUUGAUGAUGAGGCACGACAUCUUCCCAUGGUUUCGAAUGAUCUCCGCCGCCUUGCGGUACCUGAGGGUCGUUCCAUACGAGCGAUGAUAUCGGGGUGGAGUUCAAAGGCGUCAGAAGCGGAGUUGAAAGGCAACGCGGGCGGGGAUUGAACGCGAGGGGUGGUCGGAGAGAAUCGCCGGGCAAAGUCCUUAAGAAUCGGCGUUCACCACGCCGACGCGGUCGUAUGGGGACCAGUGUACAGAACGUACCUCGAGCGAAUCAGACGCCCGGGGUUACCCGCCCACUCGUCCUCGAGCUCGCCCGCGGACAUCACCACCGGGGUUAUGUCCAAGGCUUUGCACGCGAGCUCGAGGUUAAACGUCUUGCCGCACCCUUUCGCGCCCCACACGCCCAAGAUGAGCGGCACUUUCGUGAGGCCUCCGAGAGGAUUCGCGGACGCGCCCGGGUUGUCGGAAUCCGCCAUCAGAUUCUUAGCCACGUGCAGCGACACCUUGUCCACGAACAGCGGCGGGACGUGGAAGUCCCCGAAGAGGUUCUUGAACGAUCGCACGUGCUCGACGUCGCGGUAUCGCAGUCGUCCGGACGCGAUGUCGCUGUCCGCGCCGAGGUUGAAUUUCGCGUUCGCGGUGCCGGCGAAGACGUCGUCGAUGAUGCCCUUCCUCGCGCCCACCUCCGUGUUCGUGUUCGAGCUCUGCUUCCCGAGCUCGACGAGGUAGUCCACGCCCUUGACGUCCUGCGACGUCUCCGUCGCGGUCCAGGAGGACUGAUGACGACCGUGACUGGCGGCGGCGCGCGAGGGCGGCGGGCCCGCGCGGCCGUCGUCCGCGUACGGGUCAAAGUCGAGGUCGCGGUCGUCGUGAUGACCGCGCGCGGCGCGACGACGCACGUCAUCAUUAUUUCUCGUCGUCCACCGGCGAUGCCGCGCGCGGGACGGUCGGAAACCGUCGCGGCGGGUCGCGUCACGGCGCGACGCCGUCGCGAUGCGCGGCGUCGCCGUCGCGGAGGGCGCCGCCGCGCGCAUCGCGCGCGCGCGUCUUCCCGCGGGGUGGUGCGGCUCUGCUCUGACCUCUGUCUGCCACGAGAUGCAGAUAAAGUUUUUACACGUGGCGGCCGGCUGGGAAAACACCCAAUAUUUCACGAUGAUGCGGCAGGGUGAGACGCGCGCGCCACACGCAGACGCGCCGACCACGAUGUCCACGCACGCCACGCGAUGCGCGAGCUCUGUCUCUACCGCGGUCGCGUCGUCGUCGUCGUCGUCGUCGUCCAGGCGCCGCGCGUCUUCGCACCGCGCGACGACGACGACGACGCGCGCGAGCGGCGGGGACACUACGACCGACGCCAACCAACAAAAGCCAUCGUCGAAAACGUCGUCGUCGCUCGUCACGCGCCGAGCGCUUCUCGCCGGCGUCGCGACCGCCGCGCCCGCGGCCGACGCCGCGGCGCGAUGGACCGCGGACGGCUUAGACCCCGACCGCGCGUUCUUCCACGCGUUCCCGCCGAUAUGGGAGCCGUACUUUGGCUGGGGCGAGCGUCGCACGGUGACGCGACCCAUCGUCGACGGGAUCAUCUGGUCGCUCGAGCAAGAGCAAGCGCUCGACGUCCUCGCGAUGAACGUUCGCACGACGGUCGUGAAGCUCGCCGCGGACGGGUCGCUCGUCGUGUUUUCGCCGCAGGCGCCCACGGGAGAGUUCUUCCGCGCGAUCGACGCGCUGGGUCCGGUGUCGCACGUGGUCUUGCCGACGUACGCGCUCGAGCAUAAGGUGUAUCUUCCCGCGUUUUGCCGCCGGUAUCCAAACGCGAGGGUCUGGGUCGCCGACGGGAUCUGGAGUGUACCGAUCGAUCUCCCGCUGCCGCUGCUCGGGAUCGACCCGUCGAGCGGCGGCGUCUUGAAGCGCGCGGAGGAUCGCGGCGCGGACGACGUCGCGCCGCCGUGGGCGGACGAGAUCGACUAUAAGGUUCUGAGAGUGGACAGCGCGGGCGCGAACCCGUACGUCGAAGCCGUGUUUCUUCACGCGGCGUCCAAGACGUUAAUCGUCACGGACUUGGUGCUGUCGAUCCCGGCGACGCCGCCGGAGGUGAUCAGCCGCGAGCGGCUGCUAAACCUCGCGCCGAACGACCCCGCGGACGCGCCCGCGGCGGACACGGAGGAGAAUUUGAAGAUUGGGUGGGCCAAGGCGUCGCUCGUCGUGUCGUUUCUCGGGCCGUCGCGGCAGUCGCAAAUCAAAGGCGGAGCGUACGACGGGAAGCUGAAGUGGGAGCCCGGGUUCGAGGCGAGCUUCGAGAAGAUCAGCGACCGGCUGAUACCGUCGCCCAUCCUUCGCACGCUCGUGUUCAGCAAAGGGAAAGGCCCGACGCGGCGGUUCGUGAACGAGGUGUGCGACGACUGGGGCGGCCAGUUCGAGACCAUCGCGCCGGCGCAUUACGACGCGCCAGUGCCGGGCGACUGCGCGUCGUUGCGCGCCGCGUUCGCGUUCAUCGACGACCCGGGCGAGGACGGGUUGGGGUUGUCGACCCCGGGCGCAGAGCUGCCCGCGGAGGACAUGGGGGUUUUGUUGCAGGUGAACGACGUCCUCGAGAAGAUCGGUCUGGGGAAAGGGACGGAGCUGUAGAUUUUAUUUUGAUGAGAGCGGUCGUUCGUUGAAGUUCAUCGGUAAGAAACGUUCCUUCUUCUACGCGUAGCGCGAGCGCUCUCUGCUAUAAAUGAUCCAUCCCUCCACUGGGGAGCUCCUCCCUCCUCCUCUCGUUUCGGACGCGGCGUCGUGGGUACCUAGGGGAGCGUUCUCGUCCUCGCUCACUGACUCCCCGUUCGCGGCCCCGCUCUCCUCUGAUACGACCGCGCCGUCGCGCACGGCUGCGACUUGGCGUGUUCGCGUAAAAACCUGAACCGUUCCUCGACGUCCCUCGCCGUCGCGCCGCCCACCGCGGUCGACUCGCGCGCGAGGCGCCGCCACGUCUCGAUCGAGUCGCCGGUCUCGUGCGCCGCCAUGAUGAUCGCGCGAUCAUGGUCGGGCUGCCAUUUGUGCGGAACCACCGGCCGCAGCGGCGACCGCGUCGUCGUCGCCGCCGCCGCGACGACCGGCGGGGUAUCCCUCCGCUCGAUCGCGGCGACGAUACCGGUCAUCGUCGUCGGCGCGGCGCCCGCGUUUGUUGAUGACGCCAGAGUACCCCCGCGCGCCGGCACCGGCGCCGGCGGUGACGGCGGCGGGUUUGUGUCCAGCGAGGCGAUGAUCGCCGCGGCGUCCGCGAGCGUCGCGUCGCCGUCCGCCAUCGCCGUCGCCAUCUCCUCGUCGUCGCUGUCCUCCAGCGCGUCGCGCUCCACGUCGGCGUCGUCGUCGUCGUCGCUGCUCGCGAUCUCCUCGCGUUCAGCCUUGUUCGGCGACGGCUCUUCCUCGUCGGACUCGUCGAUGACUUCGCGUUCCGCGCGCGCGGCGGCGGCUGGCUUGGCGGAGGUUUUAUUAGGGUUGCGUCCUCCUCCGUCGUCGUCGUCGUCGUCGCUAUCCAUGACGUCUUCGGACUCGAACGUCGCGAACGCGUUGUGCGUCGUCGACGUUGGAUUCGUUUGAUUCGGGUUCGGAUUCUUCGGGUUCGUCGGCGCCGGCGCGGGAGGCGCGAGGAGCGGCAACGGCACGCCCGCGGCCACCGCGGCGGCUUCCCUCGCGUCCUGCGUCUCGUCCCCGCCGAGCAGCAGCCGCGUCAGCGCGACGUCGGACGCGCUUGCCGUCGCGCGCGCGGGCGACGCUCCGAUUUGGUCUCCGUGCGCGCCGUUAGCGUGGCGUACCACGUCGAAGCCGGGAGGGAACGACCCCAGCGUGCUGUCCUCGUUGAACAGAAGCGACGCGAGCGGUCCCCGCGGCGGCUGCGGCAGCGGGUGCGCGUCGUUUUGGUGCGGCUGGUGCGGCUGGUGCGCGUGCUGCUGCUGCUGCUGCGGCGGCGGAUGCACGACGACCGCGGUCGGGGACCCGCCGCCGCCGCCGCCGCCGCCGCCGCCGCCGCCGCCCGAGCACAAGACGCCGGCGCCGAACAGCGACGGAUGGAACCCCACGCUCGCCGCGUUCGCACCAGAGCCGCCGCCGGAACCGCCGCCGCCCCCUCCCGGAGCGGUCGGCUCCGCGACGCGCGGCGUCCUCGGCACGCUCCGAUGCGCGUCCACGGUCGCCGCGGUGUGGAACGACGGGUGGAUCAUGUUGAUCGCGGCGCGACUCAAGCUCGGGUGCGCGGUGCCCGCCGCGGGGGGCGGAUCUGGGUGCGCCUCGCGCCACAGACGCUCGAGGCACGACGGGUGCCGGUGCGGCAGGAAACGCGCGCAGAUCGACUCCCAAUCCUCGGAGCCCUGCCUCGCGCCCAUGCGGAACAGCGCCUCUUGGAUCGUCGCGAUCUCGUUCGCCAUGAGCGGCUGCAGGACUUUCUGUUUCGCCGUCUUCACCGCGUUGGGGCCCUUGCUCCGCGCGGUGCUGCACAGGUUCUUCUGUCUCUGCACGAUCGCCUUCACCCCCUUCGUGGGAAGCAGCUGCCGGUGAAUCUUCUCCCACUCCAACCCGUACUGCUCGAUCCCCUGCGCGAGGAGCGCGUCCUCGCUCGGGAGCCACGCGAGCUUCUCAGGGUUUAGGGUUUGCUUCAAGUCGGGCACGCGCGGAAGCAACCUCGGGUUGGCGCACGACGCCAAGACGCGAGACGCGUCCACGAUCACGCGCGGGAUGCGGACGUAAAACGGCACCAUCUCGUGCGGCGGCGGCUUCCGUCGACACCGCACGCCGUCCUCCUUGCUCCAGUCCGUCGCCGCGGUCCGCGGGUCCGCGCCCUCGCCGUGCGGGCGGAACAACUCGGACAGACGCGCGAACGCGUGCUCCGCGGAAGCCGCCGCCGCCUUGCCCGCCUCCGCGUCUAAACCCGCGGCGCUCGGCGGCGGCGCGAUCGCCGGCCCCGCCGGGACGGGCCACCGUUGCCAGCCGCGCAUGACGUCCAUGACGAACCUCUGCGCGCCGCGCAGGGGCGCGACGUCCAGAACCGUGUACACGUUCUGCCCCGGGGGUUUCGGCCACCACGGCGCCGAGUCCGUCCCCGCCGACGGCGGUGCUCUGAAACAGCUCGCCGCGUGCGGCGGAUCUUUCCGCUGCGAUUUCGCCUGCAGCCGCGACGUCGUGAGGUACACCAUCGCGUUGAUGUUGUCCAGCGUCUGCCGCGCGACCUGCUGCAUCUCCGGCGCGGGGUUCCACGCGGUGCGAGCGAAGGUCUGAAGCAAGAGUUGCACGUGAUCGUGGACCAUCCCGUGCAACGCGCCGAUCUGCGAAGGGGAGAAGUCGCCGCCGCUGACGCCUCGCGGCAGCGACGCCGCGCCCGCGGCGGCGGCGACCGCGGCGUCGCGUCUCUGCUCCGCUGCGACGCGCAGCAUCCUCCGCGUGCGCACGGUGCUGUAUAUCGGUCGCUCCUUGUACUGCGGCCUCUCCGACUUUGGCUUGUACACGUACGGCUCGUUCUUUCGGUGCUUCGUCCGCCGCUGCGCGGGGGGCAGGUUCUGCAGCUCGUUCAGCGACUUGAGUCUCCGAUCCACGCGCGCGGCUUUCGGGUCCACGAGCGCGUAGUCGUCAUCGUCGUCGUCAUCGUCAUCAUCGUCGUGCUCGUCGUCGCCGUCGUCCCCGCCGCCGCCCUCACCGGGCGCGGGGACGUUGAAAUCUAAACUGAUCGCGCUCAGAAAGUUCGCGUACUCCUCGUCGUCGUCGAAAAACUGAGGGCCGUUCCAUACAAAGCGACGUCGGGGUGGAGUUCAAAGACGUCAGUUGGAGUUGAAAGGCGUCGAGGACGGGGAUUGAAACCAGCGAGGGGUGGGCGGAGAGAUGCGCCGGCAAAAGUCCUUAAGGAUCGGCGUUCACCACGCGAACGGGGUCGUAUGGGAACCAGUGUAUAGAACGCGCCUGAUAUGCGUCCUCGUCCGCGGGCAACGGCAUCAUCUUCUCGAGGUAGUCCACGUCCACGUCGUGCAAGUUGACGUGCGCGCGCGUCCGCUUCGCGAUCAUCCCGGUGUCGGAGGUCUCGCCGUCGCUGUCGUCGCGCGCGCCAGAGUGCGGCCGCUUCAGUGACUGCGCGGCGCCGCCGCCGCCGCCGGGGGACGUGACCUCCUCGCCGACGCCGCUGAACGCCGCGCGCGCGACCGCCGACGUGCACGGCGUCGCCCCCGCGCUCGCGGUGACCCCGCCGUCGGCGUCGUCCGCGGUCUCGUCGUCGUCGUCGUCGCGCGCGCCGCGGCGGGCGCUCACGGACGCGUCGAGCGCGUUGGAGUCCUCGGGGACGAGCGAGACGGAUUCUAAAUCGUCGUCGGACGACGAGUCGUCGUCGGAGUCUGUGUCCUCCUCGUCGCUGUCCACGAGGUCUUCCGUCUCCGCGGCGCUGGCGCCGCCGCCGCCACCGCCGCCGCCUUCGGAGCCCGCCGGCGUCGGCGCGUCGCGGUGCGGGAGCGUCGCGAGGAGCGUGCGUCGCGCUUCGGCGUCGGAAUCUUCAGCGUCCGAGUCCGAGUCCGAGUCGUCGUCGUCGUCGUCGCUGUCGUCGUCGUCCUUCUCCGGCGUCGUCCCGUCGUCGUCGCUGCCGUCGUCCCCGGGGCUCCGCGCGUUCGGGUCGAAGUCCUCGUCGUCGCUCUCGUCCCCGGUCUCCAUACCCGAUCGCAGCGACGCCGCGCCGGACGUCGUCGGACGAGGAUCUGAGGUUGGCGCGGGGGCGUCGUCGCCAGCCCGCGGGAGCUCGGUGGUGGGCGCGGUCGCGCGCGCGCCCGGGGUGGCGUAGUCGAGCGUCGCCGCAGGCGCCGACGCCGCGGGGGGCGCCGCGACGGCGUCCAUCUCCUCGGAGUACAGGUCGUCGAUCGCCGCCUCGAUCGCGUCCGACGAGAGAUCUAUUCGAUCGNNNNNNNNNNNNNNNNNNNNNNNNNNNNNNNNNNNNNNNNNNNNNNNNNNNNNNNNNNNNNNNNNNNNNNNNNNNNNNNNNNNNNNNNNNNNNNNNNNNNCGACGACGGACGCGACGGGGAAGACGGCGGUGACGCCGUGGUCGCACCGCGUCGACGACGCGGCGGCGGCGGCGGAUGAGGAGAUUCGCGUCGCGUUGGCCGCGGGCGACGCGCUUCUGUUGGACGGGCGGACGACGCACCGCGGGCUCGCGAACACGUCGAACAGGAGCGAGAAGGACGGGACAGCAGGGAUGCGCGAUCGCGUGCGGAGGAUGUGCUUCUUCACGUUCAAGCGGCCGGGGAUCACGGACGGGAACGCAGCCGCGUACCUGAGCGACGGCGACGACGAGAGCGACGACGACGAGAGCGACGGGAGCGACGACGGGAGCGACGACGGGAGCGACGACGGGAGCGCCGAGGAGGAGGAGGAGAACGAGGAGGGGAGCGAGCGCGACGACGUUCGCGGUGACGCUCCCGCGGGGAAGAAGGCGAGGACGCGCGGCGUCGAGAAGGUAGGAGGACCCAGUAGCUAGUACGAUAGCCUCGGCGGCUGAAUACCGCGACGAUCGCCCGCUACCAGGGUUUAGGGUUUAGGGUUUAGGGUUUAGGGUUUAGGGUUUAGGGUUUAGGGUUUAGGGUUUAGGGUUUUAGGGUUUAGGGUUUAGGGUUUAGGGUUUAGGGUUUAGGGUUUAGGGUUUAGGGUUUAGGGUUUAGGGUUUAGGGUUUAGGGUUUAGGGUUUAGGGUUUAGGGUUUAGGGUUUAGGGUUUAGGGUUUAGGGUUUAGGGUUUAGGGUUUAGGGUUUAGGGUUUAGGGUUUAGGGUUUAGGC